rnacentral:lncRNA from 1 species
AUUUUCACACUUAAUCCGACGUCUCGGUCCUGUUAAGGAGGUGGUAGCAUAGCAAACGAGGCAACCGGACUAUGAUGCUUUAUCACUUUCACUUAGCCAUUGGAGUUCGAGGGUGGGACUACGAUAUAGCCCCUGGGGGCACCGCGCUCUCCGAAUUCGGGGCGCGUGUGUGCCUGACCGGGAAACGGUCCUUCGUCAAAGCGGAGGAAUUCUAAACAUUCCGGUGGUCGAUCGAGUGGUUGACUAGUCUCUCACUGUAUCAUGACAGUCAGUUUUCGGCUUUCUCUACUGAGGUGCUCACCCAGCCGAACUGGGGCACAAUCGCAGUAGUUCUCCUGGUGCCGUGUUAGCCGAUGAGACGGAACGUAAGGCAGCAAAACACAGGAGCCGGGCAAACCCAACAUUUGACCAAAGACAUGAUUCGGAGCUGAUGCAUAUAAGGCCUAACUCGAGACGCCGAACACUCCCUAAGGUGUUCGGUCUUUAUAAUAAUGGGCAGAACAAUGCCCUAAGCCCCUAGUGUCCAGGUACGGGCGAGGUCCUCUGACGCGGCCGAUGCCAAAACGUCAGUCUCCACUCUGGUUAUAAUGAGAAACCAGGGGAUUAUAGCAACAAGAGAUAGUGAAAAAGGUUUACGCAGGGUCUUAAUCUGAAAAGAAUCCUUGCGACGGGUCCCUACUGCACGUCUGUGCCUGUGUCUCCAUUGUGCCGUUAUCCUGGACGGGUAUGCACGUUGUUCAUCUGUAAAAAGAGAGGAACUUAGUUUGAAAGGAAAUCGUGCGAAAAAGUGCAUGAAAAAUAUUAAUAAAUGAAUAAAGCGGAGUCUAUAUUAGCUCAUUAUUGCUUAUACGCACAGCCCCUUAUGAAGGGGUGUGCGGCUAGGGAGCCCCUAGCUUAUUUAUGCCGGACUCGUCUAGCCGUGUCCGGGGUCUUUGAAUGACCCUCUUAAUGAAAUGAUGCCACGUGGACCAGGCAUUUUAAGUGUAAGAGACGCGUAAUGUGGUAUGGCGUUAAAGCGGACAAAAGCUUCACGUCCCAACAGUGCUUGAUAGCUACUUUUGAAUGGGGCGACAUGAAAGAUUAGUUUUUCGCGUCGGAAGUUGUUCGGUGACCCGAACACCACUUCUAGUAAUAAGGAGCCUGUGCACUUGGUGUAAGGGCCUGGCGUCACUCCUUUAAAGGAAGUGCGACUAUGUCGAAUUUUAGUAAGGUCUAUCCCCAACUUGCGGAUUGUGUUCAGAUAUAGCAGGUUUAAGUCGAUGCCGCCGUCCAUCAGGACUUGUGUAAAUUGUAGUCCGUCGAUUAUAGGAUCCAAUAUCAGAGCAGUCCAUCCUGCAUUUCGAACACUUCUGGAAUAAUCCAGGUGGUCAAAAGAGAUUGGUUUUGACAUCCAAUCUCGAGGCUCCGCUGGGGUGGACCGUGCGAGACCCAUCUUAGCGGGUGCCGCAUUGUUUUUCCAUAUUAUCACAUGAAGUGAGUUUACUGCUUUGACUUCUUGUGGGAAAGUCUUUUGUUUUCCGGUGCCCUGCUGGUGGGGUUCGUCGUCAUCCUCGCUUGGUGCAUCAAGCCCCUUGUGUUCGGUGUUGAAUCGGCCGGACUGUUUGAAAACCCAACAAUCUCGGUGGGUGUGGUUUGCAGGCCUUCCGGAGGUACUGUGGAUUUGACAUAUCCGAUCCAAAAUUUUGUUUAAGUUGGAUAGCUCGUCAUUGUUGUCCUUAAGAGGCAGUGUUUUGUUGUUUGGCCAUGAGCUUUUGAAUCCGGCGUUGACCGCCGUGUUCUUUGGGCUUUUUUCUUUAUUCCGACGCAGAUCUUUUCUAUGCCGUGAUUUUCCGUUUCCAUCUCUGAUCUCGGAUGUACUUGGGUCGCUGGUGCUGCAUCUUGCUAGCCAGCUGUCUUCCCCCGUGCAAAAGCGGGUCAUGAGGCUUGUUAGCACGGACAUUGUCCGUGGCUUCUCUUGGCUGAGGUGUCUGGCGAGCCAUUCGUCUCGGACGUUGUGUUUAAAAGCUGCUAAGGCUUCGGCGUCCGGACAGUCGACUAUUUGGUUCUUUUUAGUAAGGAACCUGUUCCAGAAUUUGCGCGAUGACUCUCCGGGCUGUUGAGUUAUAUGACUUAGAUCGUCUGCAUCUGGAGGGCGGACAUAAGUCCCUUGAAAAUUUGCUCUAAACGCGUCCUCAGGCUCUUCCCAACUUCCAACAGUGUUUUCUGGGAGGCUUUUGAGCCAAUGCCGAGCUGGCCCUUUGAGCUUGAGGGGUAGAUAUUUUAUGGCGUGGAGGUAAUCUCCUCUAGCCAUGUGUAUGUGUAGUAUAUAAUCCUCUAUCCAGACUCCAGGGUCUGUUGUUCCGUCGUAAGCCUCUAUGUUUAUGGGUUUAAACCCUGCUGGGAAUUCAUGAUCCAGCACCUCAUUGGUGAAACAUAGUGGGUGUGCGGCACCCCUGUAUUUGGGUGUAUCGCUGUCUUCGAACACUUGGCGUGUUAUGUUGCUUCCUGGGGCCCUCUUUUUUGGCCCGUAAAUGGACCUGGUUGGGCCAUCCAUUUUCCCAGGAUCAUGAGUCGGCUUGUGUGCGGCGCCGCUUGUAGUUUUUGGCCUAUCAUCUGGCCGUCUAUCCGGCCAGGUGGUCUCUUUGUUUUUUGACUGUGGGGGCUCUAUGGCUUCCUCGUCAAAUUCUGGCAGUAGCUUGCGCUUCGGGUAGCUCUUUGAUUGAUGGCCAUUGCCAUAUUUGUCUGCGGUUUUGAGCACUUUGCUCCACCUCAUUCUGAGUAUGUCUUCCGCUGUUUUGAGCUUCCGUUUUUCCUUCUUCAGACUUCUUGCAGUGGCAAUGAGUCUUUUGCGAAGGCUCUUAUUCUCUGGUGGUGUGUCCGGCGUGAGGUCGUCUGGACUGUUGGUUUCGCCGGGCAUGGAUUAAUUAUCCGAUUUGUCCUGUUCGGACGGUUGCUUGGUUUCAUGUUCGUAGUCCACUGGUUUGCCUGCUCUAUUGCUGGGUCAUUGGGAGCGCUGUUGUAGUCGAGGCGGGACUUAGGGCGGCGUCUGCAUCGCCGUUUUGGUUGUUUAUCGGCGGGAUUAUCCUUUGCCGCGCCCCGUUGGUCCUUGUUAUCGCUUCCUUUUGGGGUAUCCACCAUAUAUACACUAUGGGUUGGGGUGGCCUUCCAGUGCUCUGUGAGCGCUGGUUCUUGAUCGUCUCCGGCAUCGUCGUCCAUACCGUCAAUGUCUUCAGAGUCGUAGUCUAGCAUGUCGGUUAGAUCGUCGACAGCGGCUACAAAGUGGGUGGUGGGUGGGCUUUGAAUUUCUUCGUCGUCCGCAUCCCAACCAUCCUAGCCAUAAUCCGGCCAGGGCUCUCCGGAUAGUGAGAGAUGCUUUAGCGAAUUUAGGAUGUCGCCAAAGGGUGAGUGCUGAAAGAUGUCCGCUGCGGUGAACUCCAUGAUCGGCGCCCAAUCAAAUUCGAUUGACAGGGGCGCAGGAGGCUCAGAGUCCGGCAGGGAGUCCGGCACCUCGGAGUCACGAGAUUUAUAAGGGACGAGGUCAGUGUUCGGCUCCAUCGCCGCGGAUGUUGCAGCUCCCGAGGCGAUGUCCAGCCACUCGUCCUCGAUCUGCGCGAUCGGCUCCGAACUACGGGUCGGAGCGGAUUCGUGUGCGGCCUCCAAGGUACUGUUCGGUGGCAAAGCUAGAUCGUGCCCAUCGCGACAGUGCGGCACGCUCGGCUGCGGAUCGGAUCCGUCGAAGAUCAAGUCUCCGCGGAUGUCCGCCUUGAAGUCUAGGCUUCCAAAUCUGACCUGACAGCCGGGGGCGUAGCUUUCGAUCUGCUCCAGACGGCCAAGUGAAUUGGCCCGCAGUGCGAAGCCGCCGAAUACGAAGAUCUGUCCGGGGAGAAAAGUCUCACCCUGGACGGCGUUGUUGUUCAUUGAAGAAGCCAUCGAGCCUAUCGGUGACGACACAGAGGAACUCUAAAUGAAAGCACCAAUGUCGGUGUCAAAACCAGCGGAUCUCGGGUAGGGGGUCCCGAACUAUGCGUCUAGGCGGAUGGUAACAGGAGACAAGGGACACGAUGCUUUUACCCAGGUUCGGGCCCUCUCGAUGGAGGUAAAACCCUACUCCUGCUUGAUUGAUAUUGAUGAUAUGGGUAGUACAAGAGUGGAUCUACCACGAGAUCAAGGAGGCUAAACCCUAGAAGCUAGCCUAUGGUAUGAUUGUUGUCAUGGUUGUUGUGUCCUACGGACUAAAGCCCUCCGGUUUAUAUAGACAUCGGAGAGGGCUAGGGUUACACAGAGUCGGUUACAAUGGUAGGAGAUCUACAUAUCCGUAUUGCCAAGCUUGCCUUCCACGCCAAGGAAAGUCCCAUCCGGACACGGGACGAAGUCUCCAAUAUUGUAUCUUUAUAGUCUUGGAGUCCGGCGGACGAUGAUAGUCCGGCUGUCCGGACACCCCCUAGUCCAGGACUCCCUCGCUUACACAAAGAAACAAAGAACUCGCAACGAACGCAAUAAAGGGGUUGUCAAUCCCUUCACGUCCACUUGUGAAAGUGAGAUCUAAUAGAGAUAGUAUGAUAAGAUAAAUAUAUUUUUGGUAUUUCAUAAUAUAGAUGCAAAAAAGUAAAGAUGCAAAUAAAAUUAGAUUGGAAGCAAAUAUGAUAAGAGAUAGACCCAGGGGCCAUAGGUUUCACUAGAGGCUUCUCUCAAGAUAGCAUAAGUAUUACGGUGGGUGAACAAAUUACUGUCGAGCAAUUGAUAGAAAAGUGAAUAAUUAUGAGAUUAUCUAGGCAUGAUCAUGUAUAUAGGCAUCACGUCCGCAACAAGUAGACCAACUCCUAUCUGCAUCUACUACUAUUACUCCACACAUCGACCGACUCCUGCCUGCAUCUCGAGUAUUAAGUUCAUAAGAACUAACUAACGCAUUAAGCAAGAUGACAUGAUGUAGAGGGAUAAACUCAUGCAAUAUGAUAUAAACCCCAUCUUUUUAUCCUUGAUGGCAACAAUACAAUACGUGCCUUGCUACCCCUGCUGUCACUGGGUAAGGACACCGCAAGAUUGAACCCAAAGCUAAGCACUUCUCCCAUGGCAAGAAAGAUCAAUCUAGUAGGCCAAACCAAACUGAUAAUUCGAAGAGACUUGCAAAUAUAACUCAAUCAUAUAUAAUAGAAUUUAGAGGAGAUUCAAAUAUUUCUCAUAGAUAAACUUGAUCAUAAACCCACAAUUCAUCGGAUCUCGACAAACACACCGCAAAAAGAGUUUACAUCGAAUAGAUCUCCACAAGAGAGGGGGAGAACAUUGUAUUGAGAUCCAAAGAGAGGGAAGAAGCCAUCUAGCUAAUAACUAUGGACCCGAAGGUCUGUGGUAAACUACUCACAACUCAUCGGAGGGGCUAUGGUGUUGAUAUAGAAGCCCUCCGUGGUCGAUUCCCCCUCCAAAAGAGCGUCCGCGAAGGCUCCAAGAUUGGAUAUCGCGGAUACAGAAGGUUACGACGGUGGAAAUUGUGUUUCGUUGGCUCCCUGGAUGUUUUCAGGGUACGUAGGCUUAUAUAGGAGGAAGAAGUACGUCGGUGGCCGCCCGAGGGGCCCACGAGACAGGGGGCGCGCCCUACCCUCUCGUGGCCACCUCGGCUGCUUCUUGACUUGCACUCCAAGUCCUCUGGAUCAUGUUCGUUCAAAAAAUCACGCUUUCGAAGGUUUCAUUCCGUUUGGACUCCGUUGAUAUUCCUUUUCUUCGAAAUACUGAAAUAGGAAAAAAAACAGCAAUACGGGCUGGGCCUCCGGUUAGUAGGUUAGUCCCAAAAAUGAUAUAAAUGUGUAAAAUAAAGCCCAUAAACAUCCAAAAGGGGUAAUAUAAUAGCAUGGAACAAUCAAAAAUUAUAGAUACAUUGGAGACGUAUCAGUCACCGAUCCGGUUUAAUGUGUACUUACACGGGUGGUAAAAAGGAUCCACUGCGCCAUAGCUCCGUGCGUCUAACUGAUGACGCCAUUAAUGAAAUGACAAAGUCCCUUCUGAAUGAAGACCCGGCUGACUGCAGCAAAGUGGGUCUAAACCCUUUCUUCACUCUUAACCCGCCACCAGAUGUAAGUCUUUAAAUUACUUACUUUACCUUCAUCCUCAAAUAUUCUAUUAACUCAACUCUGAUGACUUUCAUAGGCUGAAGAUGAUUUUUGGAAAAAGAAAUACGACCAUGAAGCUGCCAAAAGGGCCAGGGCUGCCAAGAAAGCCGCCAAGAGAACCGCCAAGAAGAAUAGGAAGAAGACCAGUACUUCCAAGCUGCUCGAACUGGCCGACAACUCUGAUUCGGAGGUAACUCUUGAUUCUCUUGGCUCCUUUUUCAACUACCUUAUUGACAUUGAUUAUCAUUAGGAUGACACGGGGGCCAGUCAAGCAAUCGAGGAAGAGGUAACUAUCAUUUCCUCCGACUCCGAGCCUUUGGCAAGACGGAAAACUCAAAGAGUAACCUGGAAAGUAAGCUUUUCACACCCCUUAGCUCAUCUGGAUCUUCACUUUCUUUUGAAGCAACAGCAGCACGAGAGCCGGCGACAGACUCGAACCAGUGGAGGUGAAGAAUUAUCUUCCAGCGUACCAAACACUCCAAGGAAAUGUCAAAACGAGGUCAUCCCAAAUUUAAAAUAUUUUUAUCUUUUGGCGGGUCUCAUUCACCAGCCGCUUGAUUCUUCCGAUUCAAAUUAUCAGGAGACUUCUCGCUCCUCUUCUGGCGACACAUCAUAGUCCCAGCUGUUGGCUUUCAAAACUGCUCCUAGGUAAUAACAAAUACUUAUUCUUUGCUUCUUAUGUUCCUUUAUAUUUACACUAACCUCUCAUAACCCAUGUAGUGGAAAGGCCAAGCCUAGCAAGAAGGCAAGGGUGACUAAGCCGGCCGAAGACCCCAAAGUCAAUGAAUCGGAGCAACAGAUUCCUGCGUCUGACACUCUGCACCUAAAUAAGAAGAACCUGUUCUUGACGUUCCCUCUGAAAUUCCUAACUCUUCCAUUGACCAGACGAAGAACAAUCCUCUGAAUACUGAAUCCUCAAGCCCAAUUAAAACGGCUAAGACACAUGAUGAUGAUGUGGUGAUUACCAGCAUCAGCUUUAGAGAGCCGGGAAGAUCUACUGUCUUGGCCAAGCACUCUGCCAAGGAAGAACACAUUGAACGGCGAAAAGUGAGAUUUGAUGUUGUCAACUACUCUCGACUGAGCAUUGGUGAAGUAUAUUCUGGCUAUAUCAAUCAAGUGCACACCAUCCGCGAUCUUGAAGUUGACAUGGUGAAGCAGAUGCAUCAAAAAUUUGAGGUAUGAACUUCUUCUUUAUUGAGUUGUGCACAUCCUGUCAGCCCCCAAGUCUACUGUUUAUGAUGGAAUUGAAUAUGUUGUAGACUUAGAUUAACCAUGAGUAUAAAUAAUACCCUUUGAUAGAAUCCUUCAAAAUCCGGCUUACACCAUCCGGGUUAAAGCAGAUCUGUAAUGAUUAACACUGAAUUCGUAGCCCCCAAGGGCCAGUUUAGUCAGCAUGAAUGGGCCGGUCCUUUGUAUCCUUGUGUAUAAAGCAGAACUUACUUGUGUAGCCCUCAUGAACCGACUGUGACCGUUCAUGGCACAACCGAGUCAUCAUAAAGUAAAAAAGACAAGCAAUAUGCAUUAGCCCCCAAGUGCCAAGUACUCUUUCUUGCAAAGCGCUUGGGACUUAUUCACAUGAAUCGUUGCAUGAGUAAAUUUUUUUGGCAGGCAUUAGCCCCCAAGUGCCAAGUAUUGUUGCUUGCAACAGGCUUGGGACUUCAUGUCUGUAAUCCAAAUCUGAACAUGAUUUUGAACUGGUGUAUGUACAGGCCACCACUGCUCAACUUGAAUCACAAUUAACUGAUGUGAAAGCUCGGCUGGAGCAGCAAGAAUCUGAGACCCGGAAGGCCGACUCAAAAUUCCAGUUUAGCAUGGCUGAAACGGAAAAACUGAAGACCAGUUUUGAAGUUGAAAGAAGCGCUUGGGCUGAAGAGAAAAUUGCCUUGAUACAGCGGGCUGAGAAGGCGGAGGCGGCUCUUGAGGAGGUGACCAGUGAGCUUACCGGCUUAAAACGCCAUGUAUCCUAGAUGGUUUCUGCGAUCUUUGGUGAGUCACCUUGCUAGUAUCAAAUUUGAAUAUCUUCCUUGACUGUAUAAGCCGCCUCUAACCAAUCCUUGAUUAUUAUUCAGGUCCUAGGAGCAGCAAUCUGAGCCAAGAGAUGCUUGUGAAGCUCAAGGCUGUUUGCACACUUGUUCAACAGUUAUAUACUGGAACUCAGCGCGCGUUGGCCACAAUUUCUCCGGCUAAUAAAGCAACUACUCUCCCGAGUGAUGUCUUGAGAAAGCUUUCUGUUCUGCCCGAGAGGAUUGACGAGAUGAAGUGAUCAUCUGCAAGAGCCGGUGCUGCAAUAGCUUUGAGCCAGGCCAAGGCAUGGCUAUCAGAGCUAGACCUGGCCGACAUAGCUACCGGAUAUCCAAGCUUGAAAGAAGAUGGCACUCCCUUUGAGAAGAAAGACUUCACCACCUGCGUGAAGGAGAUACGUCCCUUGGCCGACCUGAUUGCCAAUGAAACGGAUCUUUCAAGAUAUCAACCGGCUUAUGAUAUGGCAAACCAGAAACUGCCUACGCCGGCUUAUAAAGUGAUGGAUCUAAUUCCCUCAAUCCAUAACCACACUUUUGCUCCUGAAGUUAACCCGUCUGAGCUUAUAGAUGAUGAAGCUGAAUUCCAAGCCUUGUGUGGCAUUGAUUGGUCAUCACCAAACCUCCAGGAAGCAGAGAAGGACGAAGAACCGGGGAAGGAUGAUCCAGAAACUUCAAACCGUGAGGGCCAAGAAGAUUGACCCGCUGGGCGAUUUAUAUAUUUGAUCUUUUGAAAACACUUAAUCACUUGGCUCCUUGAGUCAUGUAAUAGGCUAGUAAAAACUUUGCUCCGUCAUGCCAUCAUGCACGUUUGUGUUUUGCCCAGCACUAUGUGAUCCUCCACUUGAAAACUAUCAUUAUAUCCUUAUGAUGACGUUGAUUUAUGCAGAUGAAAUUUAGUCUUAACCUGCACACAAGUAGAUCACAAGAGCCCUGGCAGUUUACCGCAGGGCGGGUCAUAACAUCCCAUAUAUAAUAACUGAUGUGUAAAACAGUUUAUAAAUGGGGCCGGCUUAGUCAUGAUUAGAUAUAAUCAUAACAAAAAUAGCAUACCUGUGAUAUUGAAUCGUACUGGCGGCUUAUGAUACCAACGCAGUAAGGGUGAUAACCCAAAAGUUAGAAGCCAAUACUUCCAAGUAUUUAAUAUCAUCAUAUACUGGCGACUUAUCGUUCAAAGCCCGGCCGGGUUAAUAGAAACCACGGGUAUGCUUCAAAUAUGAGCUGUGAGAAUUGAGGCUACAUGGCCCGAAUCACUUUAAACCAUCAAGAUGGUAUCAAGAUGAACCAAAAAAUGUUCAAAAAACAAGCAAAACGAGAAAAACGAGGCUAUGCUUCGAAUAUGAGCAGGAAGCCGGACUGAGGGAGUCCUGAACCAGGGGGUGUCCGGACAGCCGGACUAUCAUCGUCCGCCGGACUCCAAGACUACAAAGAUGCAAGAUUGAAGACUCUGUCCCGUGUCCGGAUGGGACUUUCCUUGGCGUGGAAGGCAAGCUUGGCGAUACGGAUAUGUAGAUCUCCUACCAUUGUAACCGACUCUGUGUAACCCUAGCCCUCUCCAGUGUCUAUAUAAACCGGAGGGCUUUAGUCCGUAGGACAUAACCUCCAUUACAACAAUCAUACCAUAGGCUAGCUUCUAGGGUUUAGCCUCCUUGAUCUCGUGGUAGAUCCACUCUUGUACUACCCAUAUCAUCAAUAUUAAUCAAGCAGGACGUAGGGUUUUACCUCCAUCAAGAGGGCCCGAACCUGGGUAAAACACCGUGUCCCUCGUCUCCUGUUACCAUCCGCCUAGACGCACAGUUCGGGACCCCCUAUCCGAGAUCCGCCGGUUUUGACACCGACAUUGGUGCUUUCAUUGAGAGUUCCUCUGUGUUGUCACCGAUAGGCUCGAUGGCUUCUUCAAUCAACAACAACGCUGUCCAGGGUGAGACUUUUCUCCCCGGACAGAUCUUCGUAUUCGGCGGCUUCGCACUGCGGGCUAAUUCACUUGGCCAUCUGGAGCAGAUCGAAAGCUACGCCCCUGGCCGUCAGGUCAGGUUCGGAAGCCUAAACUUCACGGCCGACAUCCGCGGGGACUUGAUCUUCGACGGGCUCGAGCCACAGCCGAGCGUGCCGCACUGUCACGAUGGGCAUGAUCUAGCUCUGCCGCCGGACAGUGCCUUGGUGGCCGAACACGAAUCCGCUCCGGCCCUUAGUCCGGAGCCGAUCGCCCAGAUCGAGGAACGGUGGCUGGACACCGCCUCGGGGGCUGCAACUUCCACGGCGAUGGAUCCGAACACUAACCUUGUCCCUUGCGAAGCUCGUGACUCCGAAGUGCCGGACUCCCUAUCGGACUACGAACCUCCCGCGCCCGUGCCAAUCGAAUCUGAUUGGGCGCCGGUCAUGGAGUUCACCGCCACGGACAUCUUCCAACACUCGCCCUUUGGCGACAUCCUAAAUUCACUAAAACAUCUCUCGCUACCCGGAGAGACCUGGCCGGACUAUGGCCAGGACGGUUUGGAUACGGACGACGAAGAAAUUCAAGGCCCACCCACCACCCACUUUGUAGCCACUGUCGACGAUCUAACAGACAUGCUAGACUACGACUCCGAAGACAUCGACGGUAUGGACGACGAUGCCGGAGACGAACAAGAACCAGCGCCUACAGGGCACUGGAAGACCACCUCGUCAUAUGACAUAUACAUGGUGGACACCCCAAAAGAGGGGGAUGGCGAAGAAGCAGUGGAGGUAGAUUCCUUAAAGAAACAGCCCAAGCACCGACGCCAGCUGCGCCGCUCUAAAUCCCGCCACAGCAAGAAUGGAGAUUCAGGCACAGGAGAUAAUAAUACCCCAAAAAGUGCCAAAGACAAUCCCCUCCAGCAAGAUUCAGCGCAGGAGGAUGCAGAAGCAAGCCCUCACGAGAGAGCGGCAGAUAAAGAGGUCGAGGAUGAUAAUUACAUACCUCCCUCCGAAGACGAGGCAAGCCUCAACGACGACGAAUUCGUCGUGCCCGAGGAUCCCGUCAAACAAGAGCGUUUUACACGCAGGCUUAUCGAAAAAGCAGCAGCAGCUUCAAGCUGAUCAGGACCUGCUAGCCGAUCGAUGGACCGAGGUCCUCACGGCCGAAGAGUACGAACUCGAACGCCCCUCCAAAAGCUACCCAAAACGCAAGUUGCUCCCCCGAUUAGAGGAGGAAGCAUACAUACCUUCAUCACCAGUGCACAAUACGGCCGACCGACCACCCCGUGGUCGCGACAGAGAGGCAUCUAGGCCCUCCACCAAGACCGUACCCCAGCAUCGCUCCAAAAGUACGAAGCCAAGAGGGAACGCGCCGGACUUGCAAGAUAUAUUGGAGGACAAAGCAAGGCAAUCCAGAUCCAUCUAUGGAUCAUGUGGGCGCCCCACGACCCACGACGAAUACCGUCGCGCCGGAUACAUUAACUCCGGCCGGGCCGAACACAGCAGACAACGCUCACUCGAGCUACGUCGUGAUAUUGCUCAAUAUAGAGGCACCGCACACCCGCUAUGCUUCACUUACGAAGUAAUGGAUCAUCAAAUCCCAGAAGGGUUUAAACCCGUAAACAUUGAAUCCUACGAUGGCACAACAAACCCCGCGGUUUGGAUCAAAGAUUAUCUCCUUCACAUCCAUAUGGCUCGCGGCGACGAUCUCCAUGCCAUCAAGUAUCUCCCACUAAAGCUUAAAGGACCAGCUCGGCAUUGGCUUAACAGCUUGCCUGCAGAGUCAAUUGGGUGUUGGGAAGACCUGGAAGCCGCAUUCCUCGACACCUUCCAGGGCACAUAUGUGCGACCACCAGACGCCGAUGACCUAAGCCACAUAAUUCAGCAGCCAGACGAAUCGGCCAGACAGUUCUGGACACGGUUCUUAACAAAGAAAAAUCAAAUCGUCGACUGUCCGGAUGCAGAGGCCCUCGCAGCCUUCAAACAUAACAUCUGCGACGAGUGGCUAGCCCGACACCUAGGACAGGAAAAGCCUAAAUCCAUGGCAGCCCUCACAUCUCUAAUGACCCGCUUCUGUGCAGGAGAGGACAGCUGGCUAGCUCGCAGCAACAACCUCAGUAAAAAUUCUGGCAGUCCGGAUACCAAGGACCACAAUGGCAGGUCGCGUCGAAGCAAAAAUAAACGCCGCAUUAACGGCGACGACAAGGAGGAUACGGCAGUCAACGCCGGAUUCCAAGGCUCUAAACCCGGUCAGCGGAAGAAGCCAUUCAAAAGAACCACUCCGGGUCCGUCCAAUUUGGACCAAAUACUCGACCGCUUAUGCCAGAUACAUGGCACCCCCGAAAAGCCAGCUAAUCACACCAACAGAGAUUGUUGGGUAUUUAAGCAGGCAGGCAAGUUAAUUGCCGAAAACAAUGACAAGGGGCUGCACGGCGACGACGAGGAAGAGACCCGACCGCCGAACAAUAGAGGACAGAAGGGUUUCCCCCCACAAGUGCGGACGGUGAAUAUGAUAUACGCAACCCAUAUACCCAAGAGGGAGCGGAAGCGUGCACUAAGGGAUGUAUAUGCGAUGGAGCCAGUCGCCCAGAAGUUCAAUCCAUGGUCCUCUUGCACGAUCACUUUCGAUCGAAGAGACCAUCCGACCAGCAUCCGCCAUGGCGGAUUCGCCGCAUUGGUUUUAGACCCAAUCGUCGAUGGAUUUCACCUCACGAGAGUCCUGAUGGACGGUGGCAGUAGCCUGAACCUGCUUUAUCAGGAUACAGUGUGCAAAAUGGGCAUAGACCCCUCAAGGAUUAAACCUACAAAGACGACCUUCAAAGGCGUCAUACCAGGUGUUGAGGCCAAUUGUACAGGCUCAGUCACACUGGAAGUGGUCUUCGGAUCCCCGGAUAAUUUCCGGAGCGAGGAGUUAAUCUUCGACAUAGUCCCAUUCCGCAGCGGCUAUCACGCCCUGCUCGGACGAACCGCGUUCGCAAAGUUCAACGCGGUGCCGCAUUACGCAUACCUCAAGCUCAAGAUGCCAGGCCCUCGUGGAGUCAUCACGGUCAACGGAAAUACGGAACGCUCCCUCCGAACGGAGGAACACACAGCGGCUCUCGCGGCAGAAGUACAGAGCAGCCUUUUAAGGCAAUUUUCGAGUCCGGCCGUUAAACGGCCGGACACGGCCAAAUGCGCCCGAAGCAACAUCAACCAAGACCACCUGGCACGAUCCGAGAACGCGUAGCAAUACGGCCCCAACCCCAGCCCUUGCAUAAUUGCAAGACCAACCCUCCGCGUACAUCAUUACGCUCUGGAGAUACCAUGGGCUUAAGGGGAGGGGCACGACCACAUCAGACCCAGAGUGCGGCUCAACCACACCAGGGGCUCCCAAGUGUGUCGCUCUUUUUAUUUUUCUUUUUAUAUAUAGGACUCCAUUUACCAGAAGCCCUGUCCGGCGGUGGACCUGCCGAACUCACGAUGCAACGGCCAGGGAAGAAAGAAGGUUGCGGUUAACAUUCAGGUGGUCUCCAUUACGAGCAUUAAAUUCGAUUAUAUACACCAGUCUGCAGCCCAUCCCUGGAGGGGGACAUGCUUAUUUAGUCCAAUCCCUUGCUUACCGCACUAUUUGUAUCCUUCGGCACUUAUAGCAGAAUUCCUUGAAUAAAUAAUGCAGCAUUCUUUGCCUGUUAUUGCAUUACUCUACACAUAUGUUCAUUAAUGACAUCUCGCACCCGUAUAUUUUGGUACGGCCGAAUACACCAGGGGCUUAUGUUCCCCGCUUUAUGGUGUGAUAAGUCCGAACACUUUCACAAGUGCGGCACCCCGAACUUAUAGCAUUAUAUGAAUCGGCUCUGAAUCAUGUCUUGGGUCAAUAGUUGGGUUUGCCCGGCUCCCACGUUUUGGUGCCUUAUGUUCCGUUCUGUCGGCUAAGGUGGCACUGGGAGAACCACUGCGAUUGCGCCCCGGUUGAGCUGGGCGAGCGCCUCAGUGGAGAAAGCUAAAACUGACUGGCAUGAUAAGGCGAGAGACUGGUCGCUGUUCGAGAGGUCUUUUCGGGUCCCUAAAGACCUAUGCCGCUUCGAGCGAAGUACCGGAUAAUGUCCGACGAAGGCGUCGAUAGCGCCCCGAGUUCGGUCUUCCGAAUACUAGGGGCUUCGCCGAAAUUUAAAAUUAUAGAAUUCUAUGGCUAAGUGAGAGUGUUCAAGCAUUAUAAGUCCGGUCGCCUUGUUCGUUGUGUUGAGCGCCUCCCUAGAUGGACCCAAAAAUGGGAACAAGAGUGCUCAAGUUUAUCCCGAACACCCCAACACUCGUGGCUUGGGGGCUGAAGCCAACGACUUGCCAUCUCUCAGAUUUUAUAAAUGGCCGCACAAAAGGUAAUAUUUUAAAUUAAACAAGCGUUGCGUAGCGCAUAUGAACAAAGUUUUCAGCGCACAGGAUAAUACAUAACGAGUUUACUCAAUAAUUACAUCUCUGGGGCACUCAUCUGCAAUAUUGCGGGCACCCUUCAGGACUGUCUUAUAGUACAUUUCGGGCGUACGAUACUCCUUGCCCGCUGGCGGCGGGUCAGUAAGAAGCCUCUCCGCAUCCAGCCUGCCCCAGUGCACCUUUGCGCGGGCAAGGGCCCGACGAGCACCUUCAAUACAGGCGGAGCGCUUGAUGACAUCCACCCAGGGGCACGCAUCCACCAGCCGCCGCAUGAGGCCGAAGUAGCUCCCAGGCAUGGCCUGUCCAAGCCACAACCGGACUAUAAGGCCCUUCAUGGCCUCCUCAGCUACCUUGUGGAGCUCGACCAGCUGCUUCAGCUGGUCGCUAGGGGGCACCGGAUGGCCGGCCUCAGCGUACUGAGACCAGAAGACCUUCUCUGUUGAGCUCCCCUCCUCGCCACGGUAGAAUGCGGCAGCGUCGGAUACACUAUGAGGCAGAUCUGCAAAUGCCCCUGGAGAGCUCUGAAUUCGGGUAAGUGUCAGGUAGUUUACAUUAACAUGCUUGCUUUGCAUGAAAAAUGCCUUAUCCGCCGCUAUUUUCUUCAUAUCCUCAAUUUCCUGAAGGGCCUUACGGGCGUUGGCCUUGGCGGACUUGGCACUUUCGAGAGCCGAGGCGAGCUCGGACUCUCGAGUCUUUGAGUCGCGCUCCAAACUCUCAUGCUUCUCCAUGAGAGCCUGGAGCUCUUGCCGCACCUCCGCCACCCAUGCCUCCUGCUUUUCUCGCUCUGCUCGAUCCGCGGCCGCAUUGCGUUCGGCCGCGGACACAGCCUCCUUCAGGGCUGCCACCUCGUUUGUGGCCCCUGCAGUACCAAUGUUAUCCUUGUUAUUCUCUUAUUGCAACCUAAAUCCUUUUCUGUAAGGUAACUUUUCAAAGUGGUGUUACUCACCUUCUUUGUCCUCGAGCUGCCUCUUGGCACGGCCGAGCUCUUGCUCGGACCGCUCGAGAUCCUGCUUCAGCGCACCGACCUCCGCAGCCAGUGCGGCAGAGGUCAGCAGCGCAGCCUGCAAACCCAUAUUGACAUACUUUUUUAGCAACCCUGCGUAUAUCUUUUUAGAUCCUCAGUCCGGCUUUUCUUUUCGAACACCGAACCGAGCAUCAGGGGCUACUGUCUAUGCGGUAUUACAUUACAUAAUUUUAACUUCUUACCUCAAAGCCUGUUAGAAGGCUGCUGCAGGCUUCGGUCAGCCUGCUCUUUGCGAGCUGAACCUUCUGGAUCACCGCACCCAUGAUAGUGCGGUGUUCUUCCUCGAUGGAAGCGCCUUUGAGCGCCUAAAGCAAGUUGUCCGGCGCCUCCGGUUGGACGGAGGCUUCCGGUGUCACGGUCUUUCCCUUCUUGCGAAGGGGUCGCCUGCCGGACUCUGGAACCACUGCAGGUUCCGGCGUAGAGUCCGGCGCUAAGUCCGGGAGGCCGCCUUGCGGCGCCUCCGGAGCCUCCCCCUGAUGGGUCCCUUUCUGGGAUCCCACCUCGGCGUCCUCAUCGGCGCGAGGGGUGGAGGCAGCCGGGAUGGAAUCCACAUCCGACGGAGCCAACGACCCGCUCGAUGAAGCGGGGAGAUCAUCAUCGGCCGGACUGCAGGUAGUAUGUGGCAUUAGAAGGACACUAUGUGACACAAAAGAAAUUGCAGAUCAUUCAGGGAUCCGGAUACUUACGAUCUCGCCUGAGGCCUGGGCCUUGAGGGCCACUCUUCACCGCCAACGUUGGUGUUGGCGGAGCUGUCCGGGGGAAUAGUUCUUCCCCUCUUGGACCCUUCGGCCUCCCCUGUUGGGGAAGCCUUCCUCUUCCUCUCUCCCUCCUCAGGGAGAGAGUCUUCUUCCUCCUCCUCAUCUUCGGGGGAGGAGUCCGCCUCGGAGUCGUCGGACACCUGAAAACGAGAACUCUUUCGAGUGCCCGUGGCCACCUUCUUGGCCUUCUUCUCCGGCACCACGUGCGGUGCCGGAACCAGUAGCCCCGCUAGACGGGUGUCCACUGGGUCUUCUGGCAUGGGAGUCGGGCAGAUGAGCUUCUCGGCCUUCUUCAUCCAUUCCUGUCAAAGGAAAAGGGAGAUUAAAACCCGCUUAGGGUCGAACUAUUAACAACAAGUGUCCCGUAAAGGGGUAGAAUCACUUACCUCGUCAGCUGGACGCUGCGAGUGAAAUCCGUGAUCUUCCGUCGCGGAUGCGGGGGCUUCGGCGCCCUUAAACAGCACCCUCCAGGCGCCUUCGUACGUCGUGUCGAAGAGCCCGCUCAACACCUGGUGCUGUUCCGGAUUGAACUCCCACAUAUUGAAUGCCCGUUCUUGGCAUGGGAGAAUCCGGCGAACGAGCAUGACCUGGACCACGUUAACCAGCCUGAGCUUCUUGUUCACCAGCUUCUGGAUACAGGCUUGGAGUCCCAUUAGCUCCUUCGAAUUACCCCACAGCAAGCCCUUCUCUUUCCAGGAGGUGAGCUGCGUAGGGAUUCCAGAUCUGAACUCGGGGGCCGCCGCCCACGUAGGGUCGCGCGGCUCGGUGAUAUAGAACCACCCCGACUGCCACCCCUUGACGGAUUCCACGAAGGCCCCUUCGAACCAAAGGUGUUGGGCAUCUUGCCCAACAUGGCGCCUCCGCACUCCGCUUGAGUGCCCUUCACUACCUUCGGCUUGACAUUGAAGGUCUUGAGCCACAAGCCGAAGUGGGGCUGGAUGUAGAGGAAGGCCUCGCACACGACGAUAAACGCCGAGAUGUUGAGGAUGAAGUUCGGCCCCAGAUCAUGGAAAUCCAGGCCGUAGUAGAACAUGAGCCCCCGGACAAAGGGGUGAAGUGGAAAGCCCAGUCCGCGGAGGAAGUGGGGAAGGAAAACAUCCCUCUCAUGGGGCCCGGGGGUGGGAAUGAGCUGCCCCUCGUCGGGCAGCCGGUGCGCGAUGUCACCGGAAAGAUAUCCGGCACUGCGCAGCUUUGUGAUGUGCUCCUCCUUAACGGUGGAGGCCAACCACUUGCCUCCCGCUCCGGACAUGGUCGGAGAAGGUUGAGACGAGAUGCGCGAACUUGGGCGCUGGAGCUCGAGUGCGCGGAGAUGGAUAAGCAAAGGAGGAAGAAGGCGUGGGUGAAAAGGUGAAUCCUUAUCCCUUAUAUAUAGGCGGACGAAGACUAUGCGUCCCCACUAGCCCGGUAAAACUCGCUUAUCUCCCAAGCGCCACCAUCAAUGGCGCGGUUGGGUUACCCACGUCCGUAUUGAUGAGAAUCCCGGAAUAAGGGGAACAUGAUCUCUGCUUCGACAAGACAUGCCAAGGAAACCGCUUCACUAAACGCGCUGAGGCGGUAUAAUAAAAAACGAUUCAAGUAAAGGCUUGGUAGUGGUGUGACGUCAUGCCGCAAAAUACGUCAGUAGAUUGAGCUUGUGUACAUUUUAUUCUCUCUACGGUGGAAUGUAGAAUUUAUUUUGCAGAGCCGGACACUAUCCUGGUGUUCAUGAUCUUCUCUGGAUUAUUUAAGGGAGGAACCUGUCGUGGUUCUAAAUCUGACAGUAGAGUGGGGGUAGGUAUGGAGAGGCAAGGUCCUAGCAAUGGAGAGGUUGUAAACACAAGAGAUGUACGAGUUCAGGCCCUUCUCGGAGGAAGUAAAAGCCUUACGUCUCGGAGCCCAGAGGCGAUCGAGUGGAUUAAGUGUAUAUGAGUUACAGGGGUGCGAACCCUUCUGCCUGUGGAGGGGGGUGGCUUAUAUAGAGUGCGCCAGGACCCCAGCCAACCCACGUAAUGAAGGGUUUAAGGUACAUAAAGUCCGGGGCGUUACUGGUAACGCCCCACAUAAAGUGUCUUAACUAUCAUAAAGUCUACUUAAUUACAGACCGUUGCAGUGCAGAGUGCUUCUUGACCUUCUGGUGGUCGAGUGAGUCUUCGUGGUCGAGUCCUUCAAGUCAGUCGAGUGAGUUCCUCGUAGGUCGACUGGAAGGUGAUCUCUUCUAAGGGUGUCCUUGGGCAGGGUACUUAGAUCAGGUCCAUGACCCUACCCUAGGUACAUGACUCCAUCAUUAGCCCCCGAAUGGAUUGAGGCUUGAGUGAUGAAGGAGUUGAUGUUGUUUCCGAUUAGCCUUUGCAUACUGGUCAUGCGUUGCUUUGAACCAAAAAUCUCUUUGCUGACAGUGAGCAACUUUUCUUCAGUCGACUCGAUCCAUUCUUUUCUUUUGUCGAGUGACCUUUUGGACUUUGUCGAUUCCCGAGUGACAGAUCGCAGGAAAUCCCGUGUCUGACAGAACGGUCUGCCGUUCGCGGAUUCUGCGGGAUACGAAAUUUGGGGAAGCGCGCGAAGCGGGGCGGACCGCGGCGCUCGGAUGGGAUAGGACAUAGAUGCCUCGAUCCCCGCGCCGCCUUUUUCGCCACGUAUCACGUCCACGCAACUGUUUCGGGAUAUGAUUAGAUCGACCGGGCCCACCCAUCAUCCACUCGGAAGGGAUCUUAUAAAUGCGCCCGGCGAGGGUUUUUUGAAUAGUGCCUUAGCAUUCUCCCUCUGCUUCCUUUGUCUCUGCCCAACGCGCUCGCUCUCGCCUCCGCACAACUUCCCCUCGCGCGUCUCGCCGGCAGCCAUGGUCAAGGAGAAGAUGGCGGCGCUGGAACGCGCGAAGAAGGCGUCGGCGACGGAGAAGGCGAAGGGGAGAUCCACCAGUCUUGGCGGGUCUUCGUCUAGAUCUCGCCUGCCGAAAGGCUGGGUCCAGGGAGAUUGGAUCCGGUCGACCAUCACGGAAGCGGAUCUCCUCGACAUGGCCAACGACGGGCUGAUCCCCCACGGAGCCGCAAGGCUUCCGGGGAAAGAGUGGCAGCCCCAGCCGGAAGAGGGUGAGUGCGUGCUUCUGGCCACCCAUGUCGACCGCGGAUUUUUUUUGCCACCAAGCGUUUUCUUUCGUGGUUUCUUGAACUUCUUUGGAGCGCAACUCCACCACUUCACCCCGAACUCCAUCGCCUAUCUUGCCGCGUUUGUGUCCAUGUGUGAGAAUUUUCUGGGUUGUCGACCGCAUUGGGGCUUGUUCAAGCACAUAUUCACGUGCCGCUCUCAGACCGUGAAGAAGGCGAGCCCCCAGCCAUGACGUUUCCCGAGUCAGUUAGAGGCUGGCAGUCGACCUGGUUCUACUGCCAGGAUCAGCCGACGCCGGGGAAGUCGAGUGGACUCCCUCAGUUCACCAUGGACCGAGUGAACAAGCCCUCCUCUCUGAAGGUGAUUCCGGAGGAAAAAGCCGACGUGAAGAUGCUGAUGGAGCGCGUAGUUCAGUUGGUUCGGGAUGGAGUGAUGGGUAUGGAUCUCCUGGAGGUUUUUCUUAGGCGACGAAUCCAGCCUCUUCAGUUCCGGAGUCAUUGCAUGUGGUUGUACCGCGGGACUAAAGAUGAGACUCGGAUCAAUCCAGAAGCAAUCGACGAUGCCACUCUGGAAAGGUGGAUGGCCGCUGUUACUGGGAACAAGGAUAACCCUCAUGGAGCCAGAAGGAUUCCUCCACUCGACCACCGCAGUGUUCCAAACAAGGUAUGUCUGCUCCACUUCCCAUUGUGUUCUUGUCAAAUUUAUUUCUGUUUUCUCUGCCAAUCGGUCGAUUGAUCUUUGUUUUGAUGUCUAUCAGGCCCUCACUGAGCUGUACUCGAUGCCCAAUGGAGCACAGGCUCCGACUGAGGAGGGGGAAGCGAGCGGGGGCGAGAGCCAGGAGGAGUGGGACUCGGAUGCCGCUGAAGAUGACGAUGAUGAUGAUGACGAUGAGGAGGACGAAGAAGAGGAGGAGGAGGAGGUUGCACCACCGCGCUCGGAAAGGCGGUCGAAGCUUGUCCAUGACCCUGCGACUGAACGUGGCAAGGGGGUUGCGACUGUCGCGUAGUCGACCAAGCGCCCUCGAACCACUUCUCCGGCGCCGACUGAAAAGGCGUCGAAGCAGCCCAGGGCGGCCCCGUCAAAGCCGACCAAGCUCCUGCUGAAGAUGAAAGUGUCCAUCCCCACCAUAUCAGGGUAAUCAUGCUGCUUAAGUCUUCCUGUUUUGUGCGAGCUUUAUCUCUGGUUGACGCUUGAGCUAGUCGACUGAUUCUUUGAAAUUGCAGUGCUGCUACUUCUGAGACCUCAGCCAGGGCUGACGACCAUGAGAUGGAGGACGCAGCAACCUCGAAUCCUGGUACUAUACUCUUAAUAUUGUUUUUAGUCGACUGACUCAUGAUCCCUAAUUCUGACUCUUUUCUGUAGCUCCGUCCAAUGUUGUUAUCACUCUCCCCGAUGAUGAUGAAGAUGAGGAACCGUUGAAGCACAGAAGGAGUAGGAAAGCGUCUGCCGGCAGGAUGCCCCAGGAUGUGAUGGCGCCCGAGACUCUGGUCACGGAGGAGGAGAACACCACUCGACACACUGUGUCCUUCGCAGAUCCACUGACGAGUGCUCUCCCUGCUUCGUCGAGUGCCGCAUAGCCCUCCCUCUUCACGAUGCACCACGUCCCAGAGGACCAAGCUGGCGCCGCGAAGGAGGCGAUACGCCAGGCAGGGAUCAUGAUGGAGCAGGUGAAGACCAUCCGGGAUGCGAGCCAGGCAGCUUAUGAUGCCAGUUCCGCCCUUCAAAGCAAUGUUCAAGUCAGUCGACCAUCGCUUGUUCUGUUAGGAUAUGCUAUCAAAACUUUUUCUUUCCGGAAUUCAUAGCAGUCACCCACUGGGUGUGUCAAUUUAAACUCCGUGUUAGCGGGGGCACGCUGAGUGCACCCGCCGGGUGUAGUCCCCAAGGCUAAGGUCGACUGCUGGCAGUCGGCCUUAGGCUUUAUAAGUUGAAUCUUUCCAUCAUUCGUCUGAGGCGAAUGGAUUUCCCAAACCGGUGGGGGCACGCUGAGUGCACCCACUGGGUGUAGUCCCCGAGACUGUGGUCGACUGCUUGCAGUCGAUUACAGUCUUAAAGAAUACAUCUUGUUUUUUUUGAGGUCGACUGGUCGACUCUGUCUUCAAUAGGAUUAGUGGGGGCACGCUGAGUGCACCCAUUGGGUGUAGUCCCCGAGACUACGGUCGAAUGCUUGUAUUCGGCUGUAGUCUUAGAAACGUAUGAUUUUUCCUUUUCCACUCGGAAGUGAAUUAUCUUUGACAUUUAGUCGAUUGGUUCUUCGCAGAAAUCCUGUGACCUUGCGGCUCGCUACACUGAGCUAGAAAACAAGCACAUUCAGCUCGAGCUGGAUUUGAAGCUGGUUCAGGAGAAUCUGACGAAGGCAAAGGAGGAGACCAAAGGUAUGUUUGGUGAGGCCUCGACGACUGCUUUUUCCCUUCGUUUGUUUCAAAAUCUGAUCUUGCUGUAACUUGCAGGUAAGGUGAAGGAGGCCCAACAGAAGAAAGACCUUGAACUAGCUGAUAAGAUCAAGCUUGCUGACGAGAAGUUAGCUUCAGCCACCAAGCUUGAACAAGAAAAUACCAAUCUAAAAGCUGCUCUUGGGAUUGCCAACAAGGAAGUCAGUCGACUGAAAACUGACAAAGCUGCCCUGACCGACCAAGUCAACCAGUUGACUGGGAAGAAAAAUGAUCCGGAGGCCUUCCUGAGUGGUCUUGCUAAGAAGUUGUUCCUUAUGCUUGAAGGUAACCCUUUACUCCCAACAAUCAUUUUCAACUGUGAUUUUUCCAUUCGACCAUUGCCUUGAAUCAGUGAUUGUCUUUGCAGAAUUUUGUCAAAACUUUGAAGAAGAGACUAGCCGACUAGAACCAAACCUUGACCCCAUCAAUUCUCCGGUGAACGACGAAGUUGCCAUGAAUGUUUUCCGACUGGAGUCCCGUGUUGCAGUUGUCGUGGACUAUCUUUCAAGGCUGAAGGUCGCCACAUCUCGCAUCGACUCAUCGCUCUGGCCCAGGGAGACACUCCAGAACGACCUUGAGUCGCUGAUGGCUUGCCUGAACACGGUCCCUGGUCGAGUGCAGGAGUGGAAAAAGUCGUCGGCUUGGUGCGGUGCAGAUGUUGCUCUGUGUCUGGCCCGAGUCCACUGCAAAGAUGCACUAGAAGACAAGUUGGCGGCUCUCCGAGUGGCCAACACCAAGAAACACGACUUCAGGUCCUUCAUGGAAACCUUCAUUGCUGCUGCCACUCGGAUCACAGAUGGGAUUGAUCUUGAUGAGUUCGUUGCUCCUUCUAGCCCUCCACAGGAGGGGUAAAAAACUUCUUUUAAGCCCGACACUUUAAAUUUGCCUCGGUAUGCCGAGUGGAGUUGUAACCGAUAAACCUUAACAGGCUUAGCGCCUGAGCACUUUCGGUUCCUUUAGGUAUCGAUCCAAACUUGGAUUUGAUGUUUGAAUGCGAUUGCUUUUGGCUCGAAAUGUCUUUUGCAGGUUCAAAGCAAGACGCUUACUGCAGUCGACUUAUUCCUUAAUCCACUUAGGCGAGCGCUGGGCUGCAGCUAAGCCCCCGAGUGUGAGGUUUACUCUACACUCGGUAGGAUUUUUAUAUCUUAGGCGAGCACUGGGCUGCAGCUAAGCCCCCGAGUGAGAGGUUUGCUCUUCACUCGGUAGGAUUUUUAUAUCUUAGGCGAGCACUGUGCUGCAGCUAAGCCCCCGAGUGAGAGGUUUGCUCUUCACUCGGUAGGAUUUUUAUUUCUUAGGCGAGCACUGGGCUGCAGCUAAGCCCCCGAGUGAGAGGUUUGCUCUUCACUCGGUAGGAUUUUUAUAUCUUAGGCGAGCACUGGGCUGCAGCUAAGCCUCCAAGUGAGAGGUUUGCUCUUCACUCGGCAGGAUUUUCACGUUGUACUUGUGGCGAAGCUCAGAGGAGAGGGUCGCAGUCGACCUGCACCUCGUCCUCCUUACGAGCACACAUUGUACUUAUGGCGUAGCUCAGAGGAGAGGGUAGCAGUCGACCUGCACCUCGUCCUCCUUUCGAGCGCACGUUGUAUUUGUGGCGUAGCUCAGAGGAGAGGGUCGCAGUCGACCUGCACCUCGUCCUCCUUACGAGCGCACAUUGUACUUAUGGCAUAGCUCAGAGGAGAGGGUCGCAGUCGACCUGCACCUCGUCCUCCUUUCGAGCGUAUGUUGUAUUUGUGGUGUAGCUUAGAGGAGAGGGUCGCAGUCGACCUGCACCUCGUCCUCCUUGCGGGCGCACAUUGUACUUAGGCGAGUACUUUGGACUGCAGCUAAGCCCCCGAGUGGAAGUCUGGCUUGUCACUCGGUAGGAUUUUUAUAACUUAGGCGAGUACUUGGACUGCAGCUAAGACUCCGAGUGGAAGUCUGGCUUACCACUCGGUAGGAUUUUUAUAACUUAGGCGAGUACUUGGACUGCAGCUAAGCCUCCGAGUGGAAGUCUGGCUUACCACUCGGUAGGAUUUUUAUAACUUAGGCGAGUACUUGGACUGCAGCUAAGCCUCCGAGUGGAAGUCUGGCUUACCACUCAGUAGGAUUUUUAUAACUUAGGCGAAACGGAUUUGCAGCUAAGCCCCCGAGUGGGAGUCUGGCUCACCACUCGGUAAGGAUUUUUACAAACUUAGGCGAAACGGAUUCGCGGCUAAGUCACCCACUGAGGGGAAAAUUUUAUUGGAUAAAUAAAGAGUGAUAAAAACUAUGGAGGAAUUAUGACACUAUUAUUUUGAAAUCCAUGAACUACAGAAGUACUUUAUUACAACUCAUCCGAGUGAUAAACUUAAGUGUAAAAUGGGCAGAGUAGUUCCGCGUUCCAAGCUCGGGGCUCGUCGAUAUUAUGCUCGACGUUGUAAAGACGGUACGCCCCGUUGUGGAGAACUUUGGUGACGAUGAAGGGUCCUUCCCAAGAAGGAGCAAGCAUGUGUUGUUUCUUCUGAUCCACUCGGAGAACUAAAUCCCCUUCCUGGAAGGCUCGACCCCUCACAUUUCUGGCGUGGAAACGAUGCAAGUCUUGUUGGUAGAUGGUCGAUCGGAUCAGAGCCAUCUCCCUUUCUUCCUCUAAAAGGUCGACUGUGUCCUGUCGCGCUUGUUCAGCUUCUGCUUUGUUAUAGAGUUCAACUCGAGGAGCAUUGUGGAGUAGAUCACUCAGCAAGACUGCUUCAGCUCCGUAGACCAAGAAGAAUGGAGUUCUUCCGGUCGACCGAUUAGGUGUGGUCCGCAGUCCCCAAAGCACCGAGGGAAGUUCGUCGACCCAUGCUCCAGCCGCAUGCUUGAGAUCACGCAUCAGUCGGGGUUUCAAUCCCUUGAGGAUCAGGCCAUUGGCUCGCUCUGCUUGUCCAUUCGACUGCGGAUGGGCGACUGAAGCGUAGUCGACUCGUGUGCCUUGAGAGUUGCAGAAAUCCCUGAAUUCCUCUGAGUCAAAGUUUGACCCAUUAUCCGUAAUGAUGUUGUGCGGGACUCCAUAUCUGAAUAUCAGUUCCCUGAUGAAGCUAACAACAGUACCGCCGUCAACGUUCUUGAUUGGUUUAGCCUCGAUCCACUUGGUGAACUUGUCGACUGCCACCAGUACAUGCGUGAAGCCACUUCGACCUGUUCUCAAAGGACCAACCAUGUCCAACCCCCAUACUGCGAAAGGCAAAACGAGUGGAAUGGUCUUCAGAGCUGAUGCAGGCUUGUGUGACAUAUUCGAGUAGAACUGACAUCCUUCGCACUUGUCCACUAUUUCCUUUGCCAUCUCAUUCGCCUUUGGCCAGUAAAAUCCGGCUCGGUAUGCUUUGUCCACGAUGGUCCGAGAGGACGCAUGAUGACCACAGGUCCCCGAGUGGAUAUCAUUAAGGAUGAUUCGACCUUCUUCUGGCGUUAUGCACUUCUGACCAACUCCAGUCGCGCUUUCUCUGAAUAACUGCCCUUUGAUCACGGUAAAGGCUUUGGAUCGACGAACGAUCUGUCGAGCCUCUUCCUCAUCCUCCGGAAGCUCUUUUCUCAGGAUAUACGCGAUAUAUGGAACUGUCCAGUCGGGAAUGACCACCAAGACCUCCAUGACCAAGUCGACCACUGCUGGGACUUCAACCUCAGUCGGAUCUGUGGCACUCUUGGGCUGUGGAGCUUCUUCGGUGAAAGGAUCUUCUUUGACUGACGGAGUGUGUAUAUGCUCCAAGAACACACCACUCGGAAUGGCUUCUCUCUUGGAACCUAUCUUUGCUAGAUCAUCAGCUGCUUGAUUUUUCAGUCGGGGUAUGUGAUGGAGCUCUAACCCCUCAAACUUCUUUUCCAGCUUCCUCACUGCAUUGCAGUAUCCAGUCAUGGCUGGGCUUCUCACGUCCCACUCCUUCAUCACUUGAUUGACUACUAAAUCUGAAUCGCCAUAGACCAUCAGGCGACGGACGCCGAGUGAAACGGCCAUGCGCAAUCCGUAUAAGAGGGCCUCAUACUCUGCCUCAUUGUUGGAGGAAUCGAAGUGAAUCUGGAGUACAUAUCUGAGCUUAUCUCCUCUGGGGGAAACCAAGACAACCCCAGCGCCGGAACCAUUCAACAUCUUAGAGCCAUCAAAGAACAUGGUCCAAUGCUCCGAGUGAACUUCAGUCGGCUGUUGCUGUUCAAUCCACUCGGCGAGGAAAUCUGCUAUUGCCUGGGACUUAAUGGCUUUCUUUGCCUCAAACUUGAUAUCAAGGGGAAGAAGUUCAAUCACCCAUUUCGCCACUCGACCAGUUGCAUCUCUGUUGUGCAAAAUCUCUGAUAGUGGAGCGUCGCUGACGACUGUGAUGGAAUGAUCAGAGAAAUAAUGAGCAACCUUCUUCGUGGUCAUGUAUAUUCCAUACACAAGCUUCUGAUAAUGAGGAUAUCUCUGCUUGGAUGGAGUCAAGACUUCAGACAAAUAAUACACUGGGCGCUGAACUUUGAAGGCUUUUCCUUUUUCUUCCCGCUCGACCGUAAGCACUGUACUGACGACUUGUCCUGUGACUGCGAUAUAAAGCAACAGAGGCUCUUUGCUGAUUGGAGCAGCAAGCACCGGCUGGGUGGAUAGCAGAGCUUUUAGCUCAGCAAACGCUGCAUCAGCUUCUAGAGUCCACUCGAACUUGUCUGCCUUCUUCAUCAGUCGGUAAAGAGGCAAUGGCUUUUCACCGAGUCGUGAGAUGAAUCGACUUAACGCGGCCAAGCAUCCAGUAAGCUUCUGGACAUCGUGCACUCGCACAGGGCGUUUCAUUCGGAGAAUAGUGCCGAUCUUUUCUGGAUUAGCAUCGAUCCCUCGCUCGGAAAUGAGAAAACCGAGUAACUUGCCACCAGGAACUCCGAAUGUGCACUUUGAUGGAUUGAGCUUGAUAUCAUACCUUCUGAGGUUGGCAAAUGUUUCGGCGAGGUCAGUGAGCAGGUCGGAACCUUUUCGUGACUUGACGAUGAUAUCAUCCAUAUACGCUUCCACAUUCCGACUGAUUUGAGUGAGCAGACACUUCUGAAUCAUUCGCAUAAAUGUGGCUCCGGCAUUCUUGAGGCCGAAUGGCAUGGUGAUAUAGCAGAAGCACCCAAAUGGAGUGACGAAAGCUGUUUUUAUCUCAUCGGGUCCGUACAGACGGAUCUGGUGGUACCCGGAAUAGGCGUCUAGAAAAGACAAUCUCUCGCAUCCCGCGGUCGAGUCAACAAUUUGAUCUAUGUGAGGGAGAGGAAAUGGUCUUUCGGGCAGGCCCGGUUGAUGUGCUUGAAAUCAAUGCACAUUCGGAGCGAUUUGUCCUUCUUAGGAACCAUGACGACAUUAGCGAGCCACUCGGAGUGGUAUAUCUCUCGGAUAAAUCCUGCCGCCAACAGUCGAGCCACUUCCUCACCAAUGGCUUUUCUCUUCUGGACGGCGGACCGCCGAAUAUGCUUUUUGACUGGUUUUGCUGAUGAGUCGACUCUUAGGCGAUGCUCAGCCAGUCCCCUGGGAACACCUGGCAUGUCAGCAGGCUUCCAUACAAAAAUGUCCCAGUUCUCACGGAGGAACUGGAUGAGCGUUUCUUCCUAUUUCGGGUCGAGUGUUGUGGAGAUGUGGGUCGGGGCUGCAUUGGGGUCGGUCGGGUGAAUGUGAACAGGCUUCAUCUCACCGGACGACUGAAAUGCAGAUUCUGUGGCGGGUUUCUUGGAUCGCAGCAAAUCACUCGGAUCUGCGUUUUGCUUGUAUUCUUCAAACUCGACCGCUGUCACCUGGGAAUCGGCAAUCUUUGAGCCCUUCUGAAAGCACUCUUCUGCCUUUUUCCGAUCACCGGUGACAGUGAUCACUCCUUUGGGGCCGGGCAUCUUCAGUUUGAGGUACACGUAACAUGGUCGAGCCAUGAACCGUGCAUAAGCUGGUCUCCCCAAAAUUGCAUGAUAGGCACUCUGAAAAUCCACGACCUCAAACGUCAACUUCUCUUUGCGAAAAUGUUUCGAAUCACCAAACACCACGUCCAGAGCUAUUUGGCCGAGUGACUCGGCUUUCUUCCCUGGUAUAACUCCAUGAAAGCUCAUGUUACUGGUGCUCAGUCGGGACAUCGGAAUGCACAUUCCUUUCAGUGUGUCUGCAUACAACAAAUUCAGCCCACUACCACCGUCCAUCAGCACUUUUGUCAGUCGAGUGCCUUCGACAACUGGAUCGACCACCAAAGCUUGCCUCCCAGGGGUGGCAAUAUGAGUCGGGUGAUCAGAUUGGUCGAAUGUGAUGGGUGUUUGGGACCAUCUCAGAUAACUUGCUUUUGCUGGGGCAACCAUGUUCACCUCAUGGUUAAUGACUUUCAGUCGACUCUUGCUUUCCACAUCUGCAAAGAUCAUCAGAGUGGAGUUGACAUGCGGAUAUCCUUCUUCACUAUCCUCCUUGUCCUUGGCCUUAUCCGACUCCUUUUCCUUGUCCUUAGACUGUUUUCCUUGAAACUGAUGGAUCAGGAGUCGACAUUGGCGUGUGGUAUGCUUUGGGUAAAUGAUAUUGCCCUCUUCAUCUUUCUUCGUGUGGAUGUGACACGGCAUAUCCAUCACGGCGUUCCCUUCUUUAUCCUUCACCUUCUUAGGGUUCCAGGAUCCUUUUGGCUUCCCUUUAAACUUUCCCUGAGUCACGGCCAGAGCCUCUCCAGGAGCUACUGGUUCAGCCUUCCGCUUAUGUUUUCGACUGGUGUUUCCCUUCUCCGACUGACUCGGUUUGUACUUGCCGCUUUGGAGUCGGUCUUCUUCUUCACCGUUGGCGUACUUGGUAGCAAUCUACAUCAUCUGACUCAGGGUCAUGUCUCCGGUUCGACCAAAUUUCAGACUCAAUUCUCUGUUCUUGACACCAUCCUUGAAGGCGCAGACUGCCUGAUGAUUAGACACAUUCUCCACAGUAUGGUGCAAAGUGAUCCAUCUCUGAAUAUACUCCCUGAGAGUCUCAUUGGUCUUUUGCACACAGAAUUGCAGCUCUGUCAAUCCAGCCGGUCGCUUGCAAGUUCCUUCAAACAUUCUGACGAACACUCGGGACAGAUCUUCCCAAGUGUAAAUGUUGCUAGGAGGUAACUGAUUCAACCACGCUCUGGCAGAACCUUCCAACAUGAGGGGCAAAUGCUUCAUGGCCACCUCGUCGUUCCCACCACCAAUCUGAACCGCCACUCGGUAGUCCUCAAGCCAAGUUUCGGGCUUAGACUCACCAGUGAACUUGCUGACUCCUGUUGCCAACCUGAAAUUGGGGGGAUCACUGCGGCUCUGAUAGCCCUGCUAAAACAUUCUGGACCAGAAACAUGCACUCGACUGCUUGUGGGCGCAUCUCUGUCUGGUCCGCCCCGAUGGGCUCUGUUCCGGUCGACCAAGCCUUGCACGAUAAUGGAUUGUGCAUCGAAGCCUGGUUCUCUGGGGUCGACUGGAGCUCUUCGCCCCACACUGAGCUGACGCCUGUCAUCCUGCUGCCGAGGAGCGUAAGACCCAGCCCUCGGAGGGGAAGCGGGCACUCGACGCCUAUCAUCUCGGUCGUGUCGGUCUCCAUACUGGUCCCGCCGAUUCUCGCGCCCUUCUCGCUGCGGAGGCGAUCUGGGACCGUGAGCCGACUGAACCGUAUUCGCAGCAACGGAUCGACUGUGAAUUCUGUUGUGCGACUGCGACACGGCUGAAUUCUGGUCUCCUACUGCCCGGAGCAAAUCUCUGAUCUGCAUCAAGCCUCUUCCAGCUUCCGAUUGAGAGGGCUGGAUGGACUCUGCUAUACGGGUUGCAGCUGCUAAAUUCUGGAUUGGGGUUCGAUAUACCUGAGUCGGCGGGAAGAGUUGACGUCGAUUGGCGUCGGGAACUUGUUGCCGCGCGCGCUCGUUGAGUGCUCGCUGAAGAUUCUCCAAGCGAGCGUGUUCGGCCAAAUUGGCCAAACGUGCCUCCUCCAAGGCGCGAGCCUUGGGGGUUUCUCCUACGAUGGGAGUAUGCAGGGCAUCCAUGUUCCUGUGGCGAAGUUCCUCUCUUUGCAGAGAGUCAAGUGGCUCGGGCUGGUACUCUUUGUGGUCUCGUGCGGGGUCAUCUCCGCCGCCUGCCCCGCCAUCAUGGGCGAAGCCAGGCGGACUGCGAGGCCCGUUGACCAUCAGGAUUUCCGCCGCUGGAUCACUGCUAUCGCAUUCGGAUGCAGUCUCUACGGAGCCAGUCGACAGAUCGAACAGGCCGUAGAGAGAUUCGUCGGGCUCGAUUGCCGCAACUUGAGUGGUGGCCGUCUGGCGAGCCACCGCGUGUCUCACCCACCGCUGAAGCCUCGACCGACCAGAGCGCUUGCGCUGGCGGGAGACCGGGAGGGUGGUAGAUAGGGGAGUCGACCGAUACGGGGUCGACGGUUGUCGCAGCAGAAUGCUGCGUACACAUGCGCGAAAAUGCAUUGCACCAUGGACGGGGAGCGCAUCGACGUCGAGUGGAGCCUCCUGGAGCCAGGCGGAGUCGUCGGCAAUGAAAAUGAGAGCGUCGAGACGGAUCUCGCGACCCUCGACCAAAACUCCAGCAGCCACCAUGAUGAAAGUACUCGGGACAAUCGCAAGUUCUCCACAAAAUCGCUAAAACACCUGCCCCAAGGUGGGCGCCAACUGUCGUGGUUCUAAGUCUGACAGUAGAGUGGGGGUAGGUAUGGAGAGGCAAGGUCCUAGCAAUGGAGAGGUUGUAAACACAAGAGAUGUACGAGUUCAGGCCCUUCUCGGAGGAAGUAAAAGCCCUACAUCUCGGAGCCCAGAGGCGGUCGAGUGGAUUAAGUGUAUAUGAGUUACAGGGGUGCGAACCCUUCUGCCUGUGGAGGGGGGUGGCUUAUAUAGAGUGCGCCAGGACCCCAGCCAACCCACGUAAUGAAGGGUUUAAGGUACAUAAAGUCCGGGGCGUUACUGGUAACGCCCCACAUAAAGUGUCUUAACUAUCAUAAAGUCUACUUAAUUACAGACCGUUGCAGUGCAGAGUGCUUCUUGACCUUCUGGUGGUCGAGUGAGUCUUCGUGGUCGAGUCCUUCAAGUCAGUCGAGUGAGUUCCUCGUAGGUCGACUGGAAGGUGAUCUCUUCUAAGGGUGUCCUUGGGCAGGGUACCUAGAUCAGGUCCAUGACCCUACCCUAGGUACAUGACUCCAUCAGAACCCGCCUUGCAAUGCCGAACAUUAUGCGCGCCGGACUCAUCGUCAUUGAAGCCAGGUUCAGGGGCUACUGAGGGAGUCCUGGACCAGGGGGUGUCCGGACAGCCGGACUAUCAUCAUCCGCCGGACUCCAAGACUACGAAGAUGCAAGAUUGAAGACUCCGUCCCGUGUCCGGAUGGGACUUUCCUUGGCGUGGAAGGCAAGCUUGGCGAUACGGAUAUGUAGAUCUCCUACCAUUGUAACCGACUCUGUGUAACCCUAGCCCUCUCCGGUGUCUAUAUAAACCGGAGGGCUUUAGUCCGUUGGACAUAACCUCCAUUACAACAAUCAUACCAUAGGCUAGCUUCUAGGGUUUAGCCUCCUUGAUCUCGUGGUAGAUCCACUCUUGUACUACCCAUAUCAUCAAUAUUAAUCAAGCAGGACGUAGGGUUUUACCUCCAUCAAGAGGGCCCGAACCUGGGUAAAACACCGUGUCCCUCGUCUCCUGUUACCAUCUGCCUAGACGCACAGUUCAGGACCCCCUACCCGAGAUCCGCCGGUUUUGACACCGACACGGACCAAAAGGGUUAUUUCAUAGCUAUGCUUCGCAUACGAGCAGGAAGCCCCCAAGUGGUUUGUGGACUUGAGCCAAUCAAGAGGGUAUUUAUAGCUAUGCUUCGAAUACGAGCAGGAAGCCCCCAAGUGACCAUAAGGUUUGGCGUUGCGCCAAUCAAGUGGGUAUCUAUAGCUAUGAUUCGAAGACGAUCAGGAAGCCCCCAAGUGACCAUAAGGUUUGGCAUUGCACCAAUCAAGAGUGUACUUAUAGCUAUGAUUCAAAUACGAUCAGGAAGCCCCCAAGUGACCAUAAGGUUUGGCAUUGCACCGAUCAAGAGGGUAUUUAUAGCUAUGAUUCGAAUACGGUCAGGAAGCCCCCAAGUGACCUUUGCAAUUAUGAUGAAGAAGACUCAUUAUUCUUGGAAAUGAAACGACAGAGGCCCUGCUUUAUCAGGGAUGCCGGCUUUAUUAUAUUCAUCAUAAUAUAUACAUUAUCAAAAAUAUGUACAUCAUAAGAGCCGGUGCCUCAAGUGUAGUAAGGCCGAAGAUGAGCAAUAUUCCACGGCCGGCGGGUCUCCUCCUCCGACUGACGUGAGUCCUUGUGGUCUCAAAUAUUGAUAAGGUAGUAUGACCCAUUGUUCAGAUUCUUGCUGACCACAAAGGGUCCUUCCCAAGGUGGGGAUAGCUUGUGCAUAUCAGUUUGAUCCUGAAUGAGCCGGAGCACCAAGUCACCUUCUUGAAAGGUUCUGGUCUAAACUCGGCGGCUGUGAUAACGGCGUAGAUCUUGUUGGUAAAUUGCCGAGCGAGCUGCCGCAAGGUCAUGCUCCUCAUCUAACAGGUCAAGUGCAUCCUGACGUGCUUUUUCAUUAUUAGCUUCAACAUAAGCCGCCACGCGGGGUGAGCCGUGACGGAUGUCACUAGGGAGAACCGCCUCUGCUCCGUAAACCAUGAAAAAAGGCGUGUAACCCGUAGAUCUGUUGGGGGUAGUAUUGAUACUCCAUAGCACUAAAGGUAACUCCUCCACCCAACAACCCGGCGUCCGCUGCAAAGGAACUAUAAGCCGGGGCUUGAUGCCUCUCAAAAUUUCUUGGUUGGCUCUUUCGGCUUGACCAUUGGAUUGAGGGUGAGCCACUGACGACACAUCAAGUCGAAUAUGCUCACGUUGACAAAACUCUUUCAUAGCACCCUUGGACAGAUUAGUGCCAUUAUUAGUUAUAAUGUUGUGGGUAAAGCCAAAACAAAAAAUCACCUUUUUGAUGAAUUGAACCGCCAUUGCCGUGUCACACUUACUGACCGGCUCUGCUUCGACCCACUUUGUGAAUUUGUCAACCGCCACCAAAAGGUGGGUCUUUUUAUCCUUGGACCUUUUAAAAGGCCACACCAUAUCAAGCCCCCAGACUACAAACGGCCAAGUAAUUGGAAUCAUCCUCAAUUCUUGAGCCGGCACGUGAGCUCGCCGUGAAAAUUUCUGACAACCAUCACAUUUACUGACCAAACUCUCUGCAUCAACAUGAGUCGUGAGCCAAUAAAAUCCAUGAUGAAAAGCUUUAGCCAUGAGAGAUUUAGAGCCAGCAUGAUGACCACAAUCUCUUUCAUGAAUCUCACGAAGAAUCUCACGACCCUCUUUAGGAGAAACACAACAUUGAAAUGCCCCAAUGACACUGCGAUAGUGCAACUCUCCGUUAGCAAUUGUCAUUGACUUAGACCGUCGGGUUAUCUACCUGGCCAAAGUUUCAUCCUCAGGUAACUCGCCCCGGGUCAUAUAAGCCAAAUAUGGAAUUGUCCAAUCAGGGAUAGCGUGGAGAGCCGCCACCAAUUGUGCUUCCGGGUCAGGAAUAGCCAGAUCUUCCUUUGUAGGCAAUUUGACAGAAGGGUUAUGCAGAAUAUCCAAGAAAGUGUUAGGUGGCACCGGCUUACGCUGAGAUCCUAACCGGCUUAAGGCAUCAGCCGCCUCACUUUUCCUGCGAUCAAUGUGUUCCACUUGAUAACCCUUGAAGUGCCCAGCAAUAGCAUCAACUUCGCGGAGAUACGCCACCAUGAGUGGAUCCUUAUAAUCCCAUUUGCCCGAAACUUGCUGAGCCACCAAGUCUGAGUCGCCGAAACAUCUCACUCAGCUUAAGUUCAUCUCCUUAGCCAUCCGAAGACCAUGGAGCAAGGCUUCAUACUCAGCUGCCUUGUUAGUGCAGGGAAACAUCAACCUUAAAACAUAACAAACCUUGUCACCUAGAGGGGAGGCUAAGACAACUCCAGCCCUCGAGCCCUCCAAUUGCCUGGACCCAUCAAAGUGAAUAGUCCGAUAUGUGUUAUCUGGCUUCUCUUCAUGCAUCUACAACUCUGUCCAGUCAUUGAUGAAAUCCACAAGUGCUUGAGAUUUGAUAGUCGUGCAAGGCAUAUACUUUAAACCAUGAGGUCCAAGCUCAAUGGCUUGGCUACUCGACCUGUAGCUUCUCUAUUUUGGAUAAUAUCCCCUAAGGGAGCAGAACUGAAGACAGUGAUGGGAUGACCCAAAAAAUAUUGCUUAAGCUUCCGACUGCCAUGAACACCCCAAAUACAAGCUUUUGCCAGUGUGGAUAUCUCUGCUUAGACUCAAUAAGCACUUCAUUGAUAUAGUAAACCGGUUGUUGAACCGGAUAUUCCUUGCCUGCUUCCUUCCGUUCCACCACGGCAGCUACACUGACAGCCCGGGCAUUAGCAGCCACGUAUAAUAACAACGGCUCCUUAUCAAUAGGAGCAGCAAGGACUGGCGGCUCAGCUAGCUGUUUCUUCAAAGGUUCAAACGCGUCAUUAGCAAUGAUACGUCUCCAACGUAUCUAUAAUUUUUGAUUGUUCCAUGCUAUUAUAUUACCCCUUUUGGAUGUUUAUGGGCUUUAUUUUACACAUUUAUAUCAUUUUUGGGACUAACCUACUAACCGGAGGCCCAACCCAUAUUGAUGUUUUUUUGUGCCUAUUUCAGUAUUUCGAAGAAAAAGAAUAUCAAACGGAGUCCAAACGGAAUGAAACCUUCGGGAGCGUGUUUUUUGGAACGAACGUGAUCCAGAGGACUUGGAGUGCAAGUUAAGAAGCAGCCGAGGCUCCCACGAGAUAGGAGCCCCCCCCUAUAGGGUGUGCCCCCUGUCUCGUGGUCCCCUCGGGCGGCCACCGACGUACUUAUUCCUCCUAUAUAUACCUACGUACCCCAAAAACAUUCAGGAGGUGGACGAAACACAAUUUCCACCACCAUAACCUUCUGUAUCCGCGAGAUCCCAUCUUGGAGCCUUCGCCGGCACUCUGCCGGAGGGGGAAUCGACCAUGGAGGGCUUCUACAUCAACAUCCUUGCCCCUCCGAUGAGUUAUAAGUAGUUUACCAUAGACCUACGGGUCCAUAGUUAUUAGCUAGAUGGCUUCUUCUCUCUUUUUGGAUCUCAAUACAAUGUUCUCCCCCUCUCUUGUGGAGAUCUAUUCGAUGUAAACUCUUUUUGCGGUGUGUUUGUCGAGAUCCGAUGAAUUGUGGGUUUAUGAUCAAGUUUAUCUAUGAAUAAUAUUUGAAUCUUCUCUGAAUUCUUUUAUGUAUGAUUGGUUUAUCUUUGCAAGUCUCUUCGAAUUAUCAGUUUGGUUUGGCCUACUAGAUUGAUCUUUCUUGCCAUGGGAGAAGUGCUUAGCUUUGGGUUCAAUCUUGCGGUGUCCUUACCCAGUGACAGAAAGGGUUGCAAGGCACGUAUUGUAUUGUUGCCAUCGAGGAUAACAAGAUGGGGUUUAUAUCAUAUUGCUUGAGUUUAUCCCUCUACAUCAUGUCAUCUUGCUUAAUGCGUUACUCUGUUCUUAUGAACUUAAUACUCUAGAUGCAGGCAGGAGUCGGUCGAUGCGUGGAGUAAUAGUAGUACAUGCAGGCAGGAGUCGGUCUACUUGUUGCGGAUGUGAUGCCUAUAUACAUGAUCAUGCCUAGAUAAUCUCAUAAUUAUUCGCUUUUCUAUCAAUUGCUCGACAGUAAUUUGUUCACCCACCAUAAUACUUAUGCUAUCUUGAGAGAAGCCACUAGUGAAACCUAUGGCCCCCGGGUCUAUCUCUUAUCAUAUUUGCUUCCAAUCUACUUUUAUUUGCAACUUUACUUUUUGCAUCUAUAUUAUAAAAUACCAAAAAUAUAUUUAUCUUAUCUUACUAUCUUUAUUAGAUCUCACUUUCGCAAGUGGCCAUGAAGGGAUUGACAACCCCUUUAUUGUGUUGGUUGCGAGUUCUUUGUUUGUUUGUGUAGGUGCGUGGCACUUUUGAGGAGCCUCCUACUGGAUUGAUACCUUGGUUCUCAAAAACUGAGGGAAAUACUUACGCUACUAUUGCUGCAUCACCCUCUCCUCUUCGAGGAAAACCAACACAAGCUCAAGACGUAGCAAGAAGGAUUUCUAGCGCUGUUGCCGGGGAGGUCUUCGCUCAAGUCAAGACAUACCAAGUACCCAUCACAAACCCAUCUCCCUCGCAUUUACAUUAUUUUCCAUUUGCCUCUUGUUUUGCUCUCCCCCACUUCACCCUUGCCGUUUUAUUCGCCCUCUCUUUUGCUUGCCUCUUUCUGUUUGCUUGUGUGUUGGAUUACUUGUUGCCAUGGCGCAAGAUAAUACCAAAUUGUGUGAUUUCUUGAAUACCAACAAUAAUGAUUUCCUUAGUACUCCGAUUAGUCUUCUUAAUGAUGUUGAGUCUUGCGAAAUCAAUACUGCUUUGCUGAAUCUUGUUAUGAAAGAUCAAUUCGCCGGCCUUCCUAGUGAAGAUGGCGCUACUCAUCUAAAUAACUUUUUUGGUUUGUGUGAUAUGCAAAAGAAGAAAGAUACGGAUAACAAUAUUGUCAAAUUGAAGUUAUUUCCGUUUUCACUUAGAGGUCGUGCUAAAGUUUGGUUUUCGUCUUUGCCUAAAAAUAGUAUUGAUUCUUGGAACAAGUGCAAAGAUGCUUUUAUCUCUAAGUAUUUUCCUCUCGCUAAGAUCAUCACUCUUAGGAACGAUAUUAUGAAUUUCAAACAACUUGAUCAUGAGCAUGUUGCUCAAUCUUGGGAAAGAGUGAAAUUGAUGCUUCGCAAUUGCCCUACUCAUGGUUUGAAUUUAUGGAUGAUCAUACAAAAAAUUUAUGCCGGUUUGAACUUUGCUUCUAGAAAUCUCUUAGAUUUGGCCGCGGGAGGCACAUUUAUGGAAAUCACGUUAGGAGAUGCUACAAAACUCCUUGAUAAUAUUAUGGCUAAUUAUUCUCAAUGGCACACCAAAAGAUCUUCUAGUAAAAAAGUGCAUGCUAUAGAAGAAAUCAAUGUUUUGACUGGAAAGAUGGAUGAACUUAUGAAAUUGUUUGCUACUGAAAAUACUCCUCUUGAUCCCAAUAAUAUGCCUUUGUCUUCUUUGAUUGAGAACAAUAACGAAUCUAUGGAUGUGAAUUUUGUUUGUAGGAAUAGUUUUGGAAACAAUGCUUAUAGAGGAAACUUUAAUGAUAGACUGUUCCCUAGUAAUUCCUCUAAUAAUUAUGGAAAUUCCUACAAUAAUUCUUAUGGUAAUUUUAAUAAGAUGCCCUCUGAUUUUGAGAAUAGUGUGAAAGAUUUUAUGAUUUCUCAAAAGAAUUUUAAUGCUUUGCUUGAAGAAAAAUUGCUCAAAGUUGAUGAUUUGGCUAGUAACGUUGAUAGACUUUCGCUUGAUGUUGAUUCUCUUAAACUUAGAUCUUCUCCUCCUAAGCAUGAUAUCAAUUAGUUUCUCAAAGUAAUGAGAAUUUCCAUUGACGAGUGUAAGGAGAGAACCGCUAGAUUGCGUGCUAAAAAAGAUAGCUUUAUAAAAGCGUGUUCUUCUAGUUUCCAUGAAAAUAAUGAUGAAGAUCUUAAAGUUAUUGAUGUGUCUCCUAUUAGAUCUUUGUUUUGCAAUAUGAAUCUUGAUAAUAAUGGGACUGAAGAUAAGUCAACUUUAGUUAGAAGGCGUCCCAAGAAUUCGGAGUUUUUAGAUCUUGAUGCUAAAUUUGUAAAAGUGGGAUUAGAGAGGUCAUGACUUUAAAUAGCAUUGAACCCACUAUCUCGGAUUUCAAGGAAUUUGAUUAUGAUAAUUGUUCUUUAAAAGUUUGUAUUUCCUUGUUGCAAUCCGUUGUUAAUUCUCCUCAUGCUUAUAGUCAAAAUAAAGCUUUUACCAAACAUAUUGUUGAUGCCUUGAUGCAAUCUUAUGAUGAAAAACAUAAUUUGGAAGUUUCUAUACCUAGAAAACUUAAUGAUGAGUGGGAACCUACUAUAAAGAUUAUAAUUAAAGAUCAUGAGUGUUUUGCUUUGUGUGAUUUGGGUGCUAGUGUUUCCACGAUUUCGAAAACUUUAUAUGAUAUUCUAGGUUUCCAUGAUCUUGAUGAUUGCUCUUUAAAUUUGCACCUUGCGGAUUCCACCAUUAAAAAGCCGAUCAAUGAUGUUCUUAUUGUUGCAAAUAGAAAUUUGGUGCCCGUGGAUUUUAUCGUUCUUGAUAUAGAUUGCAAUCUUUCUUGCCCUACUAUUCUUGGUAGACCUUUCCUUAAAACGAUUGGCGCGAUUAUUGAUAUGAAGAAAGGGAAUAUUAGAUUCCAAUUUACAUUACAGAAAGGCAUGGAGCACUUUCCAAGAAAUAAAGUCAAAUUACCUUAAGAAUCUAUCAUGCGGGCUACUUAUGAAUUUAGUGUCAAAGAUGACACUCGUUAGAUCUAUCCUCGCUUUUAUGCCUAGCUAGGGGCGUUAAACGAUAGCGCUAGUUGGGAGGCAACCCAAUUUUCUUUAUGUUUUUUGUUUUUGCUCCUGUUUAGUAAUAAAUCUUGCAUCUACCUUCUGUUUAGAUGUGUUUUUAUGUUUUAAUUAGUGUUUGUGCCAAGUAGAACCUAUAGAAUAACCUGUGAUGAUAGUUGAUUUGAUUCUGCUGAAAUAUAGAAACUUUGCGCGCACGAAUUUAGUUUUUUUUAAAUCACAGGAACGUGCUUUUGCGUUGAUUCUUUUUGCUGCUGAUCAAUAAACAAAUUGUCCAGGACUUCCUAUUUUGGUAGGAUUUUUAGAGUUCCAGAAGUUUGCGUUAGUUACAGAUUGCUACAGACUGUUCUGUUUUUGACAGAUUCUAUUUUUCGUGUGUUGUUUGCUUAUUUCAAUGCACCUAUGGCUAGUAAAUUAGUUUAUAAACCAUAAGGAAGUUGGAAUAUAGUAGGUUUAACACCAAAAUAAAUAAAUAAUGAGUUCAUUGCAGUACCUUCUGUGGUGGUUUUGUUUUCUUUCACUAACGGAGCUUAUAAGAUUUCCUAUUGAAUUUUGUGUUGUGAAGUUUUCAAGUUUUGGGUAAAGCUUUUAUGAACUAUGGAAUAAAGGGUGGCAAGAGCCUAAGCUUGGGGAUGACCAAGGCACCCCAAGAUAUUCAAGGAUAGCCAAAAGCCUAAGCUUGGGGAUGCCCCGGGAAGGCAUCCCCUCUUUCGUCUUCAUUCAUUGGUAACUUUACUUGGAGCUAUAUUUUUAUUCGCCACAUGAUAUAUGUUUUGCUUGGAGCGUCGUGUAUUAUAUUAGUCUUUACUUUUUAGUUUACCACAAUCAUCCUUGCUGUACACACCUUUUUGGAGAAGCCUAUUUGAUUAGAAUUUGCUAGAAUACUCUAUGUGCUUCACUUAUAUCUUUUGAGCUUGAUAGUUUUUGCUCUUGUGCUUCACUUGUAUCUUUUAGAGAACGGUGGUGUCUUAAUUUUGAAGAAAUUAUUAAUCUCUCAUGCUUCACUUAUAUUAUUUUGAGUGUCUUUUAGAACAGCAUGGUAUUUUCUAUGGUUACAAAUUUGGUCCUAGAAUGAUGAGCAUCCAAGUUGGGUAUAAUAAAAACUAUCAUAGAAAGUGAAUUGGAUGCUAUGAUCAAUUUGAUGCUUGAUAAUUGUUUUGAGAUAUGGAGGUACUGAUAUUAAAAGUUAUGCUAGUUGGGUGAUUAUGAAUUUAAAGAAUGCUUGUGUUGAAGUUUGUGAUUCCCGUAGCAUGCACGUAUGGUGAACCGCUUUUUGAUGAAGUUGGAGCACAAUUUUAUUUAUUGAUUGUCUUCCUUAUGAGUGGCGGUCGGGGACGAGCGAUGGUCUUUUCCUACCAAUCUAUCCCCCUAGGAGCAUGCGCGUAGUGCUUUGGUUUUUGAUGACUUCUAAAUUUUUGCAACAAGUAUAUGAGUUCUUUUGACUAAUGUUGAGUCCAUGGAUUAUACGCACCUCACCCUUCCACCAUUGCUAGCCUUUCUUAUGCCGCACAACUUUCGCCGGUACCAUACACCUACCAUUUACCUUCCUCAAAACAGCCACCAUACCUACCUAUUAUGGCAUUUCCAUAGCCAUUCCGAGAUAUAUUGCCAUGCAACUUUCCACCGUUCCGUUCAUAUGACACACAUUACUUUUGUCAUAUUGCUCUUUGCAUGAUCAUGUAGUUCACAUUGUAUUUGUGGCAAGGCCACCUUCAUAAUUUUCACACAUGUCGCUCUUGAUUCAUUGCAUAUCCUGGUACACCGCCGGAGGCAUUCAUAUAGAGUCAUAUCUUGUUCUAGCUUUGAGUUGUAAAUCCAUAAAAGUGUGAUGAUCUUCAUUAUUAGAGCAUUGUCCUAGUGAGGAAAGGAUGAUGAAGACUAUGAUUACCCCACAAGUCGGGAUGAGACUUCGGACUUUACAAAAAAAGAGAAAGGCCAAAAGAAAAAAAGGCCAAAGAAAAAAGGGAAAGACGAAAAAAAGGAGAAAAAGAAAAAGGGAAAAAAGAGAGAAAAAGAGAGAAGGGACAAUGCUACUAUCUCUUUUUCCACACUUGUGCUUCAAAAUAGCACCAUGAUCUUCAUGAUAGAGAGUCUCAUAUGUUGUCACUUUCAUUUACUAGUGGGAAUUUUUCAUUAUAGAACUUGGCUUGUAUAUUCCAAUGAUGGGCUUCCUCAAAAUGCCCUAGGUCUUCGUGAGCAAGCGAGUUGGAUGCACACCCACUUAGUUUCUUUUGUUGAGCUUUCAUAUAUUUAUAGCUCUAGUGUAUCCGUUGCAUGGCAAUCCCUACUCAUUCACAUUGAUAUCUAGUAAUGGGAAUCUCCAUAGCCCGUUGAUAUGCCUAGUUGAUGUGAGACUAUCUUCUCCUUUUUGUCUUCUCCACAACCACCAUUCUAUUCCACAUAUAGUGCUAUGUCCAUGGCUCACGCUCAUGUAUUGCGUGAAAGUUGAAAGAGUUUGAGAUUAUUAAAGUAUGAAACAAUUGCUUGGCUUGUCAUCGGGGUUGUGCAUGAUUAAAUACUUUGUGUGAUGAAGAUAGAGCAACAGCCAGACUAUAUGAUUUUGUAGGGAUAACUUUCUUUGGCCAUGUUAUUUUGAGAAGACAUGAUUACUUUGAUUAGUAUGCUUGAAGUAUCACCAUUUUCAUGUUAAUAUGAACUUUUAUUUUGUAUCAUUUGGAUCUGAACAUUCAUGCCACAAUAAAGAAAAUUACAUUAAGAAUUAUGCUAGGUAGCAUUCCACAUCAAAAAUUUCUUUUUUAUCAUUUACCUACUUGAGGACGAGCAGGAAUUAAGCUUGGGGAUGCUUGAUACGUCUCCAACGUAUCUAUAAUUUUUGAUUGUUCCAUGCUAUUAUAUUACCCCUUUUGGAUGUUUAUGGGCUUUAUUUUACACAUUUAUAUCAUUUUUGGGACUAACCUACUAACCGGAGGCCCAGCCAAUAUUGCUGUUUUUUUGCCUAUUUCAAUAUUUCGAAGAAAAGGAAUAUCAAACAGAGUCCAAACGGAAUGAAACCUUCGGGAGCGUGAUUUUUGGAACGAACGUGAUCCAAAGGACUUGGAGUGCAAGUCAAGAAGCAGCCGAGGCUCCCAUGAGAUAGGAGGGCGCCCCCCCUAUAGGGCGUGCCCCCUGUCUCGUGGGCCCCUAGGGCGGCCACCGACGUACUUCUUCCUCCUAUAUAUACCUACGUACCCCGAAAACAUCCAGGAGGCAGAGAAACACAAUUUCCCCCAUCGUAACCUUCUGUAUCCACGAUAUCCCAUCUCGGAGCCUUCGCCGGCACUCUGUCGGAGGGGGAAUCGACCACAGAGGGCUUCUACAUCAACAUCCUUGCCCCUCCGAUGAGUUGUGAGUAGUUUACCACAGACCUACGGGUCCAUAGUUAUUAGCUAGAUGGCUUCUUCUCUCUUUUUGGAUCUCAAUACAAUGUUCUCCCCCUCUCUUGUGGAGAUCUAUUCGAUGUAAACUCUUUUUGCGGUGUGUUUGUCGAGAUCCGAUGAAUUGUGGGUUUAUGAUCAAGUUUAUCUAUGAAUAAUAUUUGAAUCUUCUCUGAAUUCUUUUAUGUAUGAUUGGUUUAUCUUUGCAAGUCUCUUCGAAUUAUCAGUUUGGUUUGGCCUACUAGAUUGAUCUUUCUUGCCAUGGGAGAAGUGCUUAGCUUUGGGUUCAAUCUUGCGGUGUCCUUACCCAGUGACAGAAAGGGUUGCAAGGCACAUAUUGUAUUGUUGCCAUCGAGGAUAACAAGAUGGGGUUUAUAUCAUAUUGCUUGAGUUUAUCCCUCUACAUCAUGUCAUCUUGCUUAAUGCGUUACUCUGUUCUUAUGAACUUAAUACUCUAGAUGCAGGCAGGAGUCGGUCGAUGUGUGGAGUAAUAGUAGUAGAUGCAGGCAGGAGGCGGUCUACUUGUUGCGGACUUGAUGCCUAUAUACAUGAUCAUGCCUAGAUAAUCUCAUAACUAUUCGCUUUUCUAUCAAUUGCUCGACAGUAAUUUGUUCACCCACGGUACUACUUAUGCUAUCUGGAGAGAAGCCACUAGUGAAACCUAUGGCCCCCGAGUCUAUCUCUUAUCAUAUUUGCUUCCAAUCUACUUUUAUUUGCAACUUUACUUUUUGCAUCUAUAUUAUAAAAUACCAAAAUAUAUUUAUCUUAUCUUACUAUCUUUAUUAGAUCUCACUUUCGCAAGUGGCCGUGAAGGGAUUGACAACCCCUUUAUUGCGUUGGUUGCGAGUUCUUUGUUUGUUUGUGUAGGUGCGUGGGACUUUUGAAGAGCCUCCUACUGGAUUGAUACCUCGGUUCUCAAAAACUGAGGGAAAUACUUACGCUACUAUUGCUGCAUCACCCUCUCCUCUUCGAGGAAAACUAACGCAAGCUCAAGACGUAGCAAGCAACAUCACUCCAGACGAAUUUAUCUGUUUUCUUCAUCAUCAAGUAAAGUGGUAUGGCCUUCUCACCCAACCGGCUUAUGAGCCGACUUAAGGCAGCAAUACGACCCGCCAGACGUUGAACAUCAUUGAUACACGCCAGCCUUGCCGGGGAGGUAAUGGCCUUGAUCUUCUCCGGGUUAGCCUCAAUGCCUUUGUUAGAAACCAGAAAACCCAAAAGCUUGCCUGCUGGCACACCAAAAACGCACUUGGUCGGGUUAAGCAUCAUCUUGUAGACCCGGAGAUUGUUGAAGGUCUCCUUCAAAUAAUCUAUCAAAGUUUCCUUCUCUCUAGAUUUCACCACAAUAUCAUCCACAUAGGCAUGAACAUUGCGCCCAAUCUGACUGUGAAGGCAGUUCUGCACACAUCGCUGGUAAGUCUCCUAGGCGCUCUUGAGCACAAAAGGCAUAUAUAGACACAUAGCAGAAGGCUCCGAAGGGAGUGAUAAAAGUUGUCUUCUCCUGGUCCUUAACUGCCAUCUUGAUCUGAUGAUAACCAGAGUAAGCAUCCAAAAAACUCAAACGCUCACAACCCGCCGUAGCAUCAAUGAUUUGAUCAAUACGAGGGAGAGCAAAAGGGUCCACUGGACAGGCCUUGUUUAAGUCCGUGUAGUCCACACACAUACUCCAGGUGCCAAUCUUCUUAAGCACCAGCACCAGAUUAGCCAACCACUCGGGAUGGAAGACUUCAACAAUGAACCUAGCCAUCAAGAGCCGGGCCACCACUUCACCAAUUGCCUUACGCCUCUCUUCAUUGAAGCGACGAAGGAAUUGCUUGACCGUCUUAAACUUCGGAUCAAUAUUAAGAGUGUGCUCAGCGAGUUCCCUCGGUACACCCUUCAUAUCAGAAGGUUUCCAUGCAAAGAUGUCCCGAUUCUCACGGAUGAACUCGAUGAGCGUGCUUUCCUAUUUAGGAUCCAGGUUAGCACUGAUAUUGAACUGCUUGAAUGAAUCGCCAGGAACAAAAUCAACUAGCUUAGUGUCAUCGGCCGACUUAAACUUCAACACCGGAUCAUGCUCUGUGGUUGGCUUUUUCAAAGAGUUCAUAUCAGCUGGAUCAACAUUGUCUUUGUAGAACUUCAAUUCCUUUGUUACACAGACAGAUUCAACAUAAGCAGCACCACCUUCUUCACACUCCAAAGCUAUUUUUUGGCUUCCAUGUACUGUGAUGGUCCCCUUGUAAACCGACAUCUUGAGCUGCAGAUAAACAUAACAAGGCUGUGCCAUGAACUUGGCAUAAGCCGGCCGUCCAAAUAGAGCGUGGUACGGGCUUCUAAUCUUGACCACUUCAAAGGUUAACUUCUCGUCCCUGGAAUAUGCUCAUCCCCAAAGGCUACUUCCAGCUCAAUCUUGCCUACAAGGUACGCCGACUUACCAGGCACCACUUCAUGGAAAACAGUAUUGGACGGCUUAAGAUUUUUGUCGGUUAACCCCAUGCGAUGGAAAGUAUCAUAGUAAAGGAUAUUAAUACUACUACCCCCAUCCAUGAGUACCUUAGUGAAUUUGUAUCCUCCAACUUGAGCUUCCACCACCAAAGCCAAGUGACCUGGAUUAUCAACCCGGGGCGGGUGAUCCUCUCGACUCCACAUAAUAGGUUGCUCAGACCAUCGUAAAUAAUGGGGAACUGCCGGCUCAACGGCGUUCACAGCCCUCUUGUGGAGCUUCUGGUCCCGCUUGCAUAAACUUGUGGUGAAGACGUGAUACUGCCCACUAUUUAGCUGCUUCGGAUGACUUUGAUAUCCGGACUGCUGCUGCUGCUGACCCCCCUGACCAGAUUGCUGAUUGUAACCACCCUGAUUACCUUGAUGGUUUUGGUGAACCUUGAAAUAGGAGCUAGAACCGCCACCACCGUAACUCGGGCCAUGAGGACCGCCACCACCAAAAACUGAGCCGCCGCCCGGCCCAUGAUUGUUCUGGAAAAAAUCAGAAUUUUUGAACUCCCUCAUAAUCUGACAAUCUUUCCAAAGGUGAGUGGACGGCCUUUCCUUCAUGCCAUGCUUCGGGCAGGGCUGAUUCAGCAACUGCUCAAGAUUGAUGCCUGAUCCACCUGUCCGAGGAGGUGGCUUCCCCUUAUGACACUGUCCAUUAUUCUGUGUAUUGGUAUUGGCCACAAAAUCUGAAUUACUAUCAGCCUUGCUCUUACCGUUGCCCCCCUGACUCGCCGGGUUAUGCUGUGGACCCUUGGUGUUGCCACUCUUCUUUCCCUUUCCCAGUUUUUCAUCAUCAGACUCGGGGUCCUUGGUACUAUCAGAGUCAGCAUAUUUGACUAGAGCCACCAUCAGCUGCCCCAUAUCAUUGCAAUCGCGCUUGAGCCGCCCUAGCUUCUGCUUGAGAGGCAAAAACGACAAUUCUUCUCUAACAUUAGAACUGCUGAGCCGACAUUGAUGUUAUCCGAUGAGUGUAGGAUAGCCUUGACCCGGCGCACCCAAUGGGUUGUUGACUCGCCCUCUUCCUGGGCGCAAGCAUCCAAAUCCAUAAUCGACAUGGGUUGUUUGCACGUAUCUUUAAAGUUCUGGAUAAACCGGGCUUUUAGCUCGUCCCAUGACCCGAUAGAAUUGCCAGGCAGCCCUUUUAACCAAGUACGGGUCGUCCCAUCCAGCAUCAUGGUGAAGUAUUUGGCACACGCAGCAUCACUGACCUCCAACAGUUCCAUGGCCAUCUCAUAAAUCUCAAUCCAUGCCUCAGGGGGUAAGUCGGAUGUGUAAUUAGGCACCUUAUGAGGUCCUUUGAAAUCCUUGGGUAGACGCUCAUUACACAGAGCCGACACCGAACAUGGUAUAACUGCGGUUCUAGAUGUCACACCUACCUCCACUGAAGUCGUCGGAUAAACCGGAAGAUGCUGAUGAGCCGCCCGCUGAGCCGCCUGCUCAGCUUCUCGAUGUGCCCUGUCCUGAUCGACCAAAUCAUGAGCCACUCUGUCCUGCUCAUCUCCUCAUUACACAGAGCCGACACUGUACAUGGUAUACCCGCGGUUCUAGAUGUCACGCCCGCCUCCACUGAAGUCAUCGGAUAAACCGAAAGAUGUUGAUGAGCCGCCCGCUGAGCCGGUGAGUCCAUGUGUCUGCUAUAACUCCGGCUUGGGCGUGGGGUCGAAUGAAUCCUCUCUUGACUAUAAGAAUACGCCUCCUGCUGUACCAAUGUUGUUUGAAGAAGCUCCCUAGCCCUCCGUUUCAACCACCACUGGAGAAUCACCCUCCACUAGGAGAGCCGCCAAUCGUGUCACCGCAACGAUCAUAUUAUCCAAAGGGCUGGAAUAAUGACCCGGUGGUGUUGGCACAUGCUGAGGCAGAGUAUUAUUCAGAUGAGGCGGCUCCGUCGUGCGUGGUUGAGCCGGCGCUCCAGCCCCAGGCGCUCUGACCUAGUUUAUCUCUAGCUGGUUGCUGGUCCUUGCUCCAGGCGUGCAGAAGAGGUUCCUCGCCUCAUAAACCGAUGGCAGACGACUCCGGUGCCUCCUUCUAAUGAUUUUAUUUGAAGCAUUCUGAUCCAACGAGAGCCGGAAGGAACUAGCAUGGAUCCGUUGUGCCUGAGCAUCCAAAAUAGCUCGCUCCGCUGUCAUUCUAACAUCCUCCGCCGCCAGGUCUUCUUUGGCUAGUGCCACCUCGUCACGCAGUUUCGCAAUUUCCGUGUUAUGCUGAGCUUGAUCACCGGGCUAACCUCUACUAUUAACAAGGUUGUUAGCUUAUCCAGCAAAUCCAUCAAAACCUGAGCCGACGGGCACACAGGGUCUCCUGCCCCGGCAGCCAUCAUCGCUGCUGACCCGGAGAUCAUUGCUGCUACCGUCAAAGAAUUCUUCCCAGGCUGUGUACCGGCCAUGAAGAUCGCGACCCUGUUCGGCGGCUCAUAGGGGUCCAGAAUACUAUCGCCAUCAGAACAGCCCCCAAGCCUGCCAUCUUGCAGCUGGUAUAAUGAAGUAGUCUCACCCGUGGACGACUCACCAUCAGAAUAGAUGUCCGUCUCACCACCAGACAUGGAUCCUUCAUCAAAUUCCGCUCCAUGGAUGAAUCCCACGAAGGCACAUUUCAUGGUGGGUUGAGAUCGGGCGGGUCUUGCACGCUGAGCCGUCCCGAUGAUGUCGGCACAGAUGUACGGCUCAGGACCCGGCUCGCUGAUCUUGCAGAUGAAAACAUGAAUCCCACUGAAGGGGACCCGGUACCCGUACUCAAUUGAGCCGGCCUCGGGGCCCCAGCCUGCAUCGUCGAUGUAGAGCCUGCCGUGACGACUCUUGGUCAUCCGGCCAUGGUGUAUCCCUUGAUCCCUUCGAAGCUGCCCUUUAAGAACUCGAAACCACCGUGCGCUGUCCCCAUGGUGGGCGCCAACUGUCGUGGAAUAGUCACGGCAGAUGUCCUAGUGUGAGGACUUAGUCGUGGAGCCAUCACAACUAGGUUAGCUUAAAGGUGGUUAAACGGGACAAAGGACACAGGAGUUUAUACUGGUUCGGUCCCUUGCGAUGAAGGUAAAGGCCUAAUCCGGUUUGAGGUGGUAUUGCUUAUGUCUCGAUUACCAAGGAGCAAAUCCGCUUAACCUAGCUUUUAGAUCCCUUCUUUAUUGCCCUGAACCGCCGCUGGGUCGUCCCUUUAUAUACACAGCUUGACGCCCAGCGGUUCACAGAGUCCCGGUCGGCUCAUAGACAACGUGUCCGGCUCGGUGACUAACUAUACUUGCCUUACAAUAUAAGUCAUACAAAUAUGGCGGGUUACCCUAUAGGCCUUUAGUCGCUCUUGGGCCUUCGCCCCAUGAACCGCCAUCUUCAAUAUCCUCAUGGGCUUCAUAUUAAUGAACCGCCAUAGGUAUAACCCGGCCCCUCCUGGACAGGUCAUACCUAAUAGUUAUAUCCCCAACAGAAAGCAUUGUGUAGUAGUUAUUAGAUGAUGGGUUGCUAGAGUGACAUAAGCUUAAACCCUAGUUUAUGUGCUACUUCGUAAGGGACCGAUUUGAAUCUAAAAGUUUAAUGCUAUGGUUUGAUUUUAGCCUAAUACUUCUCUCGUAGUUGCGGAUGCUUGCGAGGGGGGGGUAACCAUAAGUAGGAGGUUUGUUCAAGUAAGAACAACACCUAAGCACCGGUCCACGCACAUAUCAAAUUAUCAAAGUAGCGAACAUGAAUCAAACCAACAUGAUGAAAGUGAGUAGAUGAAAUUCCCGUGUACCCUCAAGAAUGCUUUGCUUAUCAUAAGAGACCAUUUUGGCCCGUCCUUUGCCACAAAAGGUUUGGGCUACCUUGCUGCACUUUAUUUAUCGUUAUUGUUACUUGCUCGUUACAAAUUAUCUUGCUAUGAAACUACAUGUUACUUGUAUCCUACGAGUAAAUUGUUGAAUGAAUUGAAUAUCAUGAAGUUGAAAUUAUAUGUUCAUAUCAUGCCUAGUAGUGGCUUCACAUUGGGUUUAGAAAGUGAAAUCUAUUGAAGUUUGACAAUCACAAUAUUGGUCAUACAAGCAAUUCAUGAAUGAUUAGUAUAAGGAAGAGAACUUACACAUACAAAUAUAUUAUCUUGGACAUCUUCUAUGAUUAUGAAUACCCAUUAAUUAUUUUCAAACUUGAGCAAAUUAGUUGAAGUUGGACAAGAAAGACAACGUAAUGAGUUAUGGUUGUGUAUAUUUGCAUAGAAGUUACAUUGUUAUGGAUCCUCCAACAUGUGGUGUUUGCCUAUGAUCUUUUGCUAGCUAAAAAAUCGUACUCAGUAGAUAUACUUCUUGUGCAUCCAAAAAUCCUUAAACCCAGUUUCUUACCAUGAGUGUCCACCAUACCUACCUAUGGAUUGAAUAAGAUCCUUCAAGUAAGUUUUCAUCGGUGCAUAAAGUAAUAAAAAUUGCUCCUAAAUAUGUUUGAUCUUUUAUUGUAAGGGAAAAUUGAGCAUUGUACGAACUUGUGAUGGCAAAGUAAUAAAAGCGACGGACUACAUAAUAAAGGUUGCUAUCAUAAGGGGCAAUAAACGCGACGUUCCUUUGCAUUAAGAGUUUGGGCAUCCAAAUAAAAAGCGCAUGACAACAUCUGCUUCCCUCUGCAAAGGGCCUAUCUUUUACUGUUCAACAUUUACUUUUAUGCAAGAGUCAAUUGUAUGCAUUCUCAUUUCAACAUGAAUUACUCUCUAGUUGGCAAGCAUCAUGUGGUGGGGAAAGAUCUAGGCACAUAUGGUCAGUCAAAUAUAUUUGAUCAUGAAUUAUUAUUGUUGACAAUUAACUCUAUGAUAAAUGAGUUGCGAGGCAAAAUAUUAAGCCCCUAUAUUUCUCCGUGUUCGAUGGAAGCCAUUUGUUCUAAGAAUAUGCUUUGAGUACUAGCAAUCAUGGAAGACUAUAUGAUGAUUGAGUAUGUGGAGCUCUUACUUAAACUCGGUUGAAUAAGUUGAAUUGCAAUUGUUUGGUGACUAAGAAUAUAGGUUGUUGAGUUUCAAGAGAAUCCAUUAUUUGAACCUUAACAUGUGAAUUGGUUGCUACUUUAACAUGAGACAUUUUAUGAGAAAGAACUGAUGUUAUGAUGCUAGGAAAAGUGAUUGAAAUUGAUCAAACUUAUGCACUAUGCUAGCAUUUGCACUUCAUAAAUUAUUUAUUUUAUCAUUUACCUACUCGAGGACGAGUAGGAAUUAAGCUUGGGGAUGUUAAUAUGUCUCCAACGUAUCUAUAAUUUAUCAAGUAUUCCUGCUGUUAUAUUAUCAUUAUUGGGUGUUUUACUAUCAUUUAAUAGCAACUUUAUAUCAUUUUUUGGUACUAACCUAUUGAUAGAGUGCCCAGUGCCAGUUGCUAUUUUUUUUCCUUGUUUUUUGCAUCGAAGAAAAUCAAUACCAAACGGAGUACAAACGCAGCGAAACUUUUUGAAGAUUUUUUAUGGACUAGAAGACACAACCUGGGCCAAAGAAGUACCAAAAGGGUGCCCCGAGGGGGCACAACCCACCUGGGCGUGCUUGGGGGCCCACACGCUCCCUGGUGGUUUAUGCCCACCACGGUGGCCUCCCGCACUGCCUCUUCGCACUAUAAAUUUCCAAAUAUUCCAAAAACCCAAGGGGAGUCGAUAGAUCAGAAAUUCCACCGUUGCAAGCCUCUAUAGCCACGAAAAAGCAAUCUAGACCCCGUUUCGGCACCCUACCGGAGGGGGAAAUCAUCACCGGUGGCCAUCUUCAUCAUCCCAGCGGCCACCGUGACGAGGAGGGAGUAGUCCACCCUUGGGGCUGAGGGUUUGUACCAGUAGCUAUGUGUUUAAUCUGUUUCUCUCGUGUUCUUGAGAUAUCACGAUCUUGAUGUAUCACGGGCUUUGUUAACAUAGUGGGAUCAUAUGGUGUUUUCCCCUCUCUAUCUUGUUGUGAAUUGAGUUUUCCCUUUGAGAUUUUGUCUUAUCAAACUGAGUACUCUUUUAUGGAUUUGAGAACACUUUAUGUAUGUCUUGCUAUGAAUACCCGUGGUGACAAUGGGGCAUCAUAUUGAUUCACUUGAUAUAUGUUUUGGCACUCAAUUCGCGGAUUCUCGAGGUGACAUUGGGGUAAUCUAUGCAUAGGGGUUGAUGCACGUUUUUGUCUUUGUUUUUUCGGUAGAAAUUUUGGGCACUCUUUGAGGUUCUUUGUGUUGUAUUGAGUAUUAUGAAUCUGAAAUUGUUUGAUGCAUAUCGUAUAAUCAACUCACUUUUACUCAUGGUGAAAUUGGAGCAUCUAGGUGACAUUAGAGUUGGUUGAUGUGUAUUGUAUGGUGUUAUUUUAGUACAAACUCUUUGUUAGAUCAAUCGAAAAUAAUAGCUUGGUGUUAUUUUAGUACGAACUCUAGGAUAGAUUGAUCGGAAAGAAUAACUUUGAGGUGGUUUCGUACCCUAUAAAUAAUUUCUUCUAAUAUUCUCCGCUAGAUAGGAACUUUAGAGUGAUUCUUCAUCGCACGUUGAGGGAUGAUUAUAUGAUCCAAUUAUAUUAGCAUUGUUGAGAGAUUGCACUAGCGAAAGUACGGACCCUAGCCCUCAUUUUCAAGCAUUACAAUACCGUUUGUACUCUGUUUUAUCAAUUGUUACCUUGCUGUUUUUUAUUGCUCAUAUUACAAAAAUCAAUAUCUACUAUCAUCACUACACUUGUAUCACCAUCUAUUCGCCGAACUAGUGCAUCUAUACAAUUUACUAUUGUAUUUGGUGUGUUGGGGACACAAGAGACUCUUUGUUAUUUGGUUGAGGGUUGUUUGAGAGAGACCAUUUUCAUCCUACGCCUCCACAGAUUGAUAACCUUAGGUCAUCCACUUGAGGAAAAAUUGCUACUGUCUUACAAAACUCUGCGCUUGGAGGCCAACAUGAGUCUACAAGAAUAAAUUUGCAUAGUAGACAUCAGUGGCGACUACACCUCCUUGAUCAGGAAACAUCUUGCUGGGAUGGCCGGUUCGGCAGGGCAGAAAUGCAUAGACUGCCGGACUGAUGUUCUUUUGGAUUCGGACAUGUAAAAACUAAGCAUAUUUGCUUCAUUUUGGUUGUGAUCGGGGAUGCGAUCUGGCGCGAGUGUGAUCCGGCUUGUUGUGUGGAUGAGAAUAAAUUUGAAUUUGAAUUUGUUGGAUGACAGAAUGCGGCUACGGUUGGAUGGCUACCUCCCGCAUCCAUGUCCGCGGACUGAUCCGCUUGUCCGCGGACGGAUGCGAAAGAUUUUUUGCGGGUUGCCGUUGGAGAUGCCCUAAGCUUCGUAGACUAGAGCCUUCCUAGAUUUGGAGCUGCGUUGGGGCAGUGGGGUCGCUGGCCCCCACCCAAGGGUGUGUGUGGUUGGUUUAGUUUCUUGUUUGCUUUUUUCCUUUUAUUAAUUUUCUUUUUCUUCUCUUUCCUAUUUUAAUUUUCUUUUUUCACAUUAUAAUUCAUGAACAUUUAUGAUUUUUUUGAAUAUUUUUUAGAAUCCCCAAAUAUUUUUAAAAACUCAUGAACCUUGUUUAAAUUCAUGAUUUUUUUCAAGUUUAUGAAUAUUUUAAAAGUUCGUGAACAUUUUAAGUUUGAGAACUUUAUUUUAGAUUUUUGAAUAUAUUUUUAAAUCCAUAAAUUAAUUUUAAAUCCCCCAAUUUUUUUAUAAAGUUCAUGGUUUUAGUUUUCAACAUUUAGAUUUUAAAAAUUCGUGAACAUGUUUUGUAAGACUAGAUAAUUGCCCGUGCGUUGCAACAGGAGUGUAAAAAUUUAUUAAAUUAACCCGUGAUUGCACGUCUAUUAUUACAUUGGUGCGCUAAAAUCUUAGCAAGUUUUUGCAUGCAAUUGCCAUGAUUUAUCUACCAUCUUAUUGUUAAGUGCUUAUUUGGUAAUAAUUUAUUGACUUCCAAAGAAAAAAAAUAUUUAUGAGAAAGAUCAGAGAUGGAAAGAAAAAAGUCAUCUUACUGUUAAACACUUAUUUGGUUAGAAUUUAUUGACUUUGAAAGAAUAUUAUUAUUUGAGAGAAAAAUCAGAGAUGGGAGAAAAAAUCAAACGGGAGAAGGAAAGGGGAACCAUAUAUAAAGAGGUUGGACGAAGAAGAGGGUGAAACGGAAACCUUACGUUCUCUGUAAGUAGUAGAGAUAAAUGGUGCGAGCAGGAAACAUGUUAAACAGGCGAGUGGAGUAGGGAGGCGAGUUGAGCGAGCGAGAGGUUUGUGGGCCUGGUCAUGUAAAGUUAUGGCAACAAUUCCACGUUUUCAUCGUGGAAUAUGAGCCCCCAAGGGACUCAUACACCGAUCACCAGCUCACACAGUGAGGCCAAAAUGUGUAAGGGCACCACAUCCAUCCACUGAACAACUCCACUAUCCUCUCGAAAUAAAUAUCGUCUUUAGUAGCGCCCAACCUGAUAUACUGGUGAAAACACGACCUCAAAACCAAGCAAACGCAGAUAAAACCAAAAUGAAACAACCAACUAAAACGACUCGAUUCCAUGAGUGAAGAACGGCGCGGCGAAGCGCACGUUAGCCUUUAGUGAAAGGCAAAUUUUUAGAUCAAAUGGAUAAGUUUAUAUAAUACUUCCUUCACAAGGCUUCAAAUUAGGGGAAUUCUUGAGAUGGAACCUACACUCAAAAGUUGAACUUGGCGGCCUCAUGUUUUCAUGGAUCUUGAGCUUGUAAUAGAUAUAUUAAGCUACACAAAUUAUAUGGUAGUUCCUUUGGAAAAGGGCCAAAAAAUGGAAGAUUGAAUUUGUGAAGGAAACAUGGGGUUAAAUUGAUCCAAUAUUGAUACUAGACGUGAAUAUACGUGCAAUGACCAUCUCCAAAUAUUUUCAUAAUAUUUGGAGAUCUAUAAGCAUUUUUGAGGAUUUAAUUCCUUCAUAUGGCAGUAAAAGAAAAUAUUUUUAGAUGGAAAAUAUUGCACUAGACAUACAAUACUUUUUGCAUAUCUAGAGCUUUGUAGGGUUAUGAAAGUCACAGGGAAUUUCAGUAGACUUUGCCAUCUAAAGUAAAUUGAGGUUCCUUUGUAUUGGCUUAAUUCCUCAAUAGUUGGAAAUAGGGUUUGAGAGGCAAGAAUCAAUAUGGAGAAUAUUUUUGGUGGCAAGGAUCUUGUGAAGAAUAUCUAAGUGGGAUAGGAGAAGGAUUGCCACUGAGUAGCAACAUCUAACAAAGAUAAGUCCAAUGACCACUGAAAGAAAAAGACGAGAGCCAAAUCCAGUGAAAAUGAUAAUGAUAAAGGAGCAAAAAUCAGGGCAUUCCAAUAUAGGGAGGCCUGAAAAUGACGACCACUAGCACUACGAGCGGCGACCCCAUGUUAUGCGAAUGGCAUCGAGCGGUGCUGGAAGCUGGAGCGGCCAUGCACGAGUCAAGGGGGACAGAGCACUGGUGCUAGGGAUCGGCGACAAUGAUCACAAGUGUUGCGAUGGCAACCGAGCGACACUGUGUGCAUGAUGACUACACGAGGUGCGAAUGGCGAAUGGCGAUGAGCGACACUGGCAGCCUGAUCGAACGGCUCGGCAGGUGACCGAUCGUUGGCCGGCAUCGGUCGACCAACAGAUGGUAGUGUCCAAACCGAAACGGAAUCCAAUUUUCAUGUCUAGCGAGUAGCAUCGCACCCCAUCAACCAAUCACGCCUGCUGCCGAAACAGGCGCCACUGCCUGGGCGGCUGCUGCCGAAACCAAACCCAAACUCGAGUGCAGCGGCGGGAACGAGCGAACCGUGUCUCGACCGUCCACUCCCGCACCCGCAGCCAUCCACGGACGAGAUCGCCUGCCGCCUGGCCUUCCCGCCAACCAUUCCAGCCAAAUUCCCCGUAUCCCCCCGCCGCCGCGCCGCGGGACCAAAAAUCCCAAAUUGUUUCGUUCCCCCCUCCUCCCUCCUCCUUCGCGCCUCGCCCUGCCCCGCCCCACCCCGCCCGCCGCGCUGCCACUGCUAUUUAUUUCCCCCAAAUCGCCAUUGCCCACAGCANNNNNNNNNNNNNNNNNNNNNNNNNNNNNNNNNNNNNNNNNNNNNNNNNNNNNNNNNNNNNNNNNNNNNNNNNNNNNNNNNNNNNNNNNNNNNNNNNNNNNNNNNNNNNNNNNNNNNNNNNNNNNNNNNNNNNNNNNNNNNNNNNNNNNNNNNNNNNNNNNNNNNNNNNNNNNNNNNNNNNNNNNNNNNNNNNNNNNNNNNNNNNNNNNNNNNNNNNNNNNNNNNNNNNNNNNNNNNNNNNNNNNNNNNNNNNNNNNNNNNNNNNNNNNNNNNNNNNNNNNNNNNNNNNNNNNNNNNNNNNNNNNNNNNNNNNNNNNNNNNNNNNNNNNNNNNNNNNNNNNNNNNNNNNNNNNNNNNNNNNNNNNNNNNNNNNNNNNNNNNNNNNNNNNNNNNNNNNNNNNNNNNNNNNNNNNNNNNNNNNNNNNNNNNNNNNNNNNNNNNNNNNNNNNNNNNNNNNNNNNNNNNNNNNNNNNNNNNNNNNNNNNNNNNNNNNNNNNNNNNNNNNNNNNNNNNNNNNNNNNNNNNNNNNNNNNNNNNNNNNNNNNNNNNNNNNNNNNNNNNNNNNNNNNNNNNNNNNNNNNNNNAUGGCGACCGCCGGCAACGCCCCCCGCUCCCGCAAGCGCGUCGAGGCCACCGUCCUCAAGCGCGCGCGCGACGGAAGCGCCUUCACCCGCUGGUAACUUCCGUUCCCCGCUCCCUUAUCCUGCUCCGCUGCUUCUUCGAUGAGUGACUGACCGAACGACUGGUUUUGGUUUCAGCGAGGCGUGCAACAAGGACGUAGCCAUCGUCCUCAUCGACCUCCACAGCUGCAGCCUCGACUCCAAGAUACGCCUCAGCCUCGGUGCGUUUCAGCUCCUCCCGUCUUCAACACAUCUAGGCCGCGUCUGCCUACGGCCGCGCUGACCCCGCUACUUCCGUUUUUGUUUUCAGAGUCGCAGGUGGUGGAGAAGUCCGUCGAGAUCCAGGAGAAGAAGAGGAAGGCGCCCUCAGCUGCCGCCGGAGGCAAGGGGAGGAAGAAGAGCAAGGCGGACGGAGAUGGUGCCAAGAAGCCAAAGGCAAAGCGCCCACCGACUGCCUUCUUCCUCUUCAUGUAAUCCCCCCUUCAUUUCUCCUUGUCGUGCCAUGUCAAUUGGUCCGAAAUCUUUGUUGUUUGUGACCUGACAAGAUUCGAUUCGAUUUGCGUCGCAGGAAGGACUUCAGGGUGGAGUUCAAGGCCUCCCACCCGGAAGAGAAGGGUGUUGCCGCCGUACGUCCUUUUCAUCCCCACGUUCUUAUUGGUUUGUUUGUGUGCUGUGUUGUGGCUCUGACUCUCCGUGCGUGUGUCUGGUGGUGAAAUGCAGGUUGGCAAAGCAGCAGGGGAGAAGUGGAAAUCCAUGACUGAAGAGGAGAAGAAGCCCUACAAUGACCAGGCCAAGGAGCUCAAGGCCCAGUUUGCCAAUGGCGAGGGCAGCGCGGUAAUUCCCUGGGUUCCAUACCAGAUCAAUCAAUCUAUUCUUGUGAAUUGCUCUGACAUUGCUAUUGGUGAGUCUUGGCUUGACUGUUCGUUUGUGUCUGAUGUUGAUGCAGGAGAACAAUGUGGGAGAUGAGAAGGCAGACGUGGAUGCAGAAGAGGUGGAGGAUGCGGAGCAGGAGGUGGAUAAGCCAGAAGACGCCCCAGAGGAGGAGGAAGAGGAAGAGGAGAAGAACGAGCUGGAUGAUGACAUCUAGACGGGACUGAAGAAGGGUGCUCGUUUCUGUUUUGUAAAUGGCAGGCGUUCUAUCUGUCCUGGACAACCUGAAUCUUGGCCUAAACUCUAGUAGCAGCAGUAGUGAAUGUUGUGGCUGGUUGCAGUCUGUUUAUCAUUGUUAUGGAAUGGAAGGAAAGCAGGGUUGAUGUGGUGGUCGAUGAAUGAUUGAAUUUUUCUGUCACUGCAUUGCAUUUGCAAUAUAUGUGAAACUAGGAUUUUGUUAAUAUCUU